UUCAUUUGACUGAAGAAAUGCUUGAAGAGCACCCAAAUAUGGGUGCUUACAUGGCUCCAUCGCUCAACAUACGCCAAGAAAUUAUCACUGCUGAGGUACCUAAGCUUGGUAAGGAGGCUGCAUUGAAGGCUCUUAAAGAGUGGGGGCAGCCUAAGUCCAAGAUCACUCACCUUGUAUUUUGUACAACUUCAGGAGUAGAAAUGCCCGGUGCAGACUAUAAACUAGCCAAUCUUCUAGGCCUCGAAACAUCAGUUAGAAGAGUAAUGUUUAUCAUCAAGGCUGCUAUGCAGGUGGGACUGUUCUCCGAACUGCGAAGGAUCUCGCAGAGAAUAAUGCAGGAGCACGAGUUCUUGUGGUAUGCUCUGAGAUCACAGUUGUUACUUUUCGUGGACCUUCUGAAACCCAUUUAGACUCUUUAGUAGGUCAAGCCCUUUUUGGUGAUGGGUCGGCAGCUGUAAUUGUUGGAUCAGAUCCAGAUACCUCCAUUGAACGACCACUCUUCCAACUUGUUUCAGCAGCCCAAACAUUCAUUCCUAAUACACAAGGUGCUAUUGCUGGCAACUUACGUGAGGUGGGUCUAACCUUUCAUUUGUGGCCUAAUGUGCCUACUCUGAUUUCCGAGAAUAUAGAGAAGUGCUUGACUCAAGCUUUUGCCCCACUUGGUAUUAGUGAUUGGAACUCCUUGUUUUGGAUCGCUCAUCCAGGUGGCCCGGCCAUUUUGGAUGCAGUCGAAGCAAAACUCAAUUUGGAGAAAAAGAAACUCGAAGCAACAAGACACAUCUUAAGUGAGUAUGGUAAUAUGUCAAGUGCAUGCGUGUUGUUUAUUUUGGAUGAGAUGAGAAAGAAAUCACUCAAGGAAGAAAGGACCACCACAGGUGAAGGAUUAGAUUGGGGCGUUUUAUUUGGUUUUGGGCCAGGUCUGACCAUUGAAACUGUUGUGCUGCAUAGCGUUGCUGGGGCUACAAAUUGAGUGAAAGGAAAAAAAUCAGAAGGGGACAAUUUCCAAUUAAAUCAAAUAGGAGUUAAUAAAGACAUAUAUGUCUUCUAUUUGUAACAUCUUUUAUUCUUUAUUAAAAUUGAUGUUUGUGGUUCAAAUUAGAGCUUGUUGGAGGGCUUCAUUAGUAACCUCAAGUUAAAAGGGAUGAGACAUCAAGUUCUUACAGUUUCGAUAUCUAGAUGAAAUUCCCUCAAAAGUUGUAUAAACAUCCACCGUGUUCUUUUAAAGAUUGUUGAGAGUAAUACAAAGAAAAGAAUAAAAUAACAAAUUGCCUUUUCCCUUUGUAACUAAGAAGCAAAGCCAUGUGGAUGCCAAAAGUAAUGCAACAAUUUGAAAAGAGUAAACAGGGCGGUUGAUUAGUUAACUUCCAUAAUUCCGCAACAUUUGAUUCAAAAGACUUUAGCUUUAUCAAUUACUUAACUACUACUCCGUAUGUGGAUAAAUUCUUGUACCAUCUGAAAAGGUAUAGAAGAUAGUUAUCCUCAUAAAUAGGUUGCCUAAUUAAUUAGGUGAUCUUCAAUAAUUCAACAAGAUAGGGAUUUUAAAAUAUUUUUACUUUAUUAAUUCCUUAACUACUCCUUAAACUUCCUUUUUUUCCCCUUUUUGUGAAAAGCUCUUUACCCUCAAUACAUAUGAUAUAUUCCGUUGCUAGGAACUUGGGUUUGAGUAUGUAUUAAUUACUAUUCUUAAUCAAAUUUAUUAUUGAAAAAUUAUUUUUAGUUGUGGUUUUUUUAAUAUACUUAUUACACAUUUAUCAUAUGUACUUGUUUAAUAUACUUUAAUUUUUUUAUAUGUACUUAUUACACAUUUACAAAUUACAAACUAAAUUGCCUUUAAUUUUUUUAUAGUUGAAGGCCUUCUUUUCCACCCCCAGUCUCCAAUAAAUUAGACUCUACAAAGCUUCUUCUAUGCUACUCUCUGAUUCUACUUCUAGUGCAAAGCCUUGGCACUCUACAUUAUCUUGCUAUUGCUAAGAGACAAUCCAAGAAUAUUGAAGAUAAUGAAGUUAGGUUGUUGUAGUAUAAUACCUGAGUGCUUCUCUACUUGCAACUAUGGGACCGUACAUGAAGAAGCAUUUAAUAAAGGGUUUUAAGAAGCAUAACAUAUUUUUAAGGCCAAAUUAUUUACAAAUAAAGUGCAACAACUACAUAAAAAAUGAAUUUUGAUGAAUCAUGAUUGAGGGCGAAUUUAAUUUUCGUAAGGAAUUAUUAUUAUUAUUUUUAAAUCAAUUUUAUCACAAUGAAAGGAUCGAUGCAAAAAUUUAGUGCUUGUUUCUAUAUACUUAGUGUUAACUACUUUUAAAAAUGGAAAAUGAUUAUAACUUUUGUAUGAAAUGUAAAUUUUUAUUAGAAAAAUAUAUACUUCUAAACAAUUUUAAAAAACUAUUAUAUUUUUAUUGUAAGUAACAAAAAGCUCUUACAUUUUAUAUAAGAGUUACUAGCUUUUUCCAUUUUAAAAAAAGAAACACGAAUUGUUCCAAACACUACAUAGUUAUUAAAAAUAUUUAAUCUAAAAAAAAAAUUAUUUUUAGUAUAAAUUGAUUCAUUUAAAAUUUUUACAUCAAUUGUUUUACGAUAACAAAAUAAUUUAAGUAUCACACACAAAGUUAUGAAAAAAAAUAUGAUAAUUUUAUUUUAAAUGAUUCAGAAUAUUUCAAUGUUUUUUAAAAUAUAUUAAUUUUUUAAAAUAAAUUUAUUUAUAGAAAACGUGCAGUAAAUAUAUAAAAGAUGGAUGUGAUGAAACAUUAAUUAAAAUGAACUUCUUUUUUCAUAAAAGAAAUUUUAAGAAAAAUUAAUUUCACCACAAAGAAAUAUUUUCAAAGAUUUAGUAAUCAAAACUAUCAUAUUUAAACUCAAUUAUUUUUAUAAUUUAUGUUUAUCCCUACAACAAUUUUUUUUUUAUAAAUAUUUUACAAUAUAAGUGUACUAAGUAUAUUAUUUACAAAAAAAAAAUAAAAAUUGACACAUAGAAUAUCAAUCUCUAUUGCAAUCUAAGAAUGCUUAGGUUCCAAAACCUCAAUUCAUUCUUGUUAGCUUAAGGGUUCUCCUAAUCAGGUUUUGAUGAUAACAAACCAUGGUUAAGUUGCUAAUUGGUUUGAAUUAUAAAGAAUUUCAUUUAUUAAUUCGAGAAUUCAUCAAAGGACCAAAUGGAUGCAAGAUCAAGACCUUUGGAAGACCUUUAAUCAUAGGAAACAUAUAUAAGAUGAAUGCAUGGGUGCACUUAGGUUUUACAUAUCAUUUCAUGCAUUUUUGAAAAACUCGGUUUAUUCUUUAAAGUUAUAGUUUCAUCAAAAUCCGAGUUUUAUCAAAUGAACCUUAGACAAAUUACUUCAAAAUUGGCAUAUUAAUUUACCUAAAGACCUUGCCUAAGUGUUAGAAGAGAAAAUAACAUAAAAAUAUAGGUUUUCAGGCAAAAAAUGGUGAACCGGUUGAGGCAUUGGCCAAUCGGCUAGGGGUACCAGUUGACCGAUUCGCUCUUCGCGAUUGACUGGUUCCCUCUUCCUGGUUGACUGGUUCUCUCUUCUCAAUCGAGGUUUGGUCGAGGAGCGCAAAAAGUACUCUUUCUUCCAGUAGCCUUUCUUUCCCGAUCGAGGUAUUUGCCAUCUUGGUCGACCUCUGGUCAAGGUCCGAUCGAGGUCCGGUCAAGGGUAAUGGUCACUUACCAAACAUUAAAUGCUCCAACGGCUAGUGAACCGGUCAACCCCAGCUCGACCGAUUGAGGCUACUUUUUGGUUUUCUUGUCUCCCGAGCUUAGAAACCUAUAAAUAGAGAGUUUCACUUCAUUUUUAAGCAAGAGAACACUUGCAUUUAUUUGUCUACCCACUUGUUCUUGCCUUAAAAGCUCUCAUUCCUUUCUUGGCGCAUUAAAUUCCCAUUUGCAUAUCCUUUAGUGCACUUUUGUGAUUCAUCCUACUCUUGAGUUGUAUUUGAGCUAUUGUUGAGUUAGGCUGAGAGAUUCAUUCUUGUUAAUUGAGUGUUAAAGCCUUCAAGUGAGUUGAAACUUGAAGAGAUUGUGUAAGAGCCCAUUAGAGUCGAAAUCCAAGUGUAAAGGUGAUUAGAAGCUUGGUUGAAGCUUCAAGUUAGUGGAAUCCUCACUCGAUUAGGAGUUUGAGGAGAGUGGACGUAGGCAAGAAAGUGUCGAACCACUAUAAAAUUUGAGUUUGCUUUCUCUAACUCUAUCUCUUUAUAUUUGCUUCUCUUGUGCUUAAAUUUGUUUGUUUAAAAAGAAUUUUUUAAAAACCCAAUUCAUCCCCCUCUUGGGUGUUUUUUCUCAUUUAAGAUUAACCUUUAUUUUCUCAAUUCUUUUCUACCAGCCAUACCUACAUUCAUGAAUUAGAAAGAAUUAUUUUACUAUACCAUAGGAAUUAUUAUAGUAAAUGGAAAAAAUACCACUAUUGAACCCCAAAGUAUCUCAUAAUUUCUUGUUUGUUAUAUCUACACCUUAAACUUGUAGCUUUGGCUCCCUAUGGUGUCACAUAUUCUUCCUUACUAUUAGGAUAUAGCCCUUAAAAAAUUUAGGGUUUAUUAUUCAUUCAAUAAAGUUCCAAUUGCACUUUAAUUAAUCAAUAGUCCAUGCAUUAUACCUUAUGAGCAUUUAGACCUACAUCUUUGCAUUGUGAGUUGUAUGGAAGAUCCAAGUCAUGGAUUCCUUACAAGUAGAUGGGUUGUUCACAACUAGUUCAUGAACUUAGACAAUAUAUUAGACUUCUUAAUUGGAGGGAUGGUUAGUCUUGGCCAUUGGGACGGGUUUCCCAUGAUGAGUGCACUAAAGUGUAUGGUUACAUAUUGGACAGGACCUAUAGUGAACCGUACUGUAAGUUUAUCAAGUUGCCAUGACUUCACUAAGCUACUUUAUUGUAUUGUCUUUCAACCUUGAAAGAAUAUUGAACUUGAGCAAAAGUUAGUAGUGACUUUAACUUACGGGUAAGAUCUUAAAGUGAUCAUAUAUUCCUUAUGGAUUGGAUCAUUGUUGAUGAAAACUACUAACAACAGGUAUUCUCAAUAUAAGCACCAUGAUAUUUAAUGGGAUUGAGACAAUGUGUUCCCUUGGGUGAUCUUAAAGAUGUGUGUUUAGGUCAACCAUGGUCAUCAUAAUUCCUUAAGUGGAACUUGACAUUAGCUCUUGGUGAGCUUAGAUAAUAUGUCAAUUGAUCACACUCUAAGAGGAUUUGGAACUCAAAGAUGGUAAAGGUAAUCUUCAAAAUUUGAUAACUUUUACCUUGUUAGAUUAUGGACACCGGUUCAUGGGGAGACGUAGUGCUUAGGUCAUAGACCGACCCAAGUACUAAGCAUCUCGUUAUAUUUACGUAGUGUAUUGGAGUGUAGUAGUUGACUCUCUACUGUCAAAUGUAAAGUAAAUUUCAGAAUUGGAUUUUGAGGGAGUCAAUACUAUCAUAGGAGUCCCAAUUAUCCUCACUUGAGCUCAUAUACCUUGACGACACAGUUUAUGAAGGUUAGAUUGACUCUUAGUUCACUUAUGUGCAUAAGGCAUGUUGAUAAUUACAUAAGGUUAAAUAGGGGUUAGUGAACAGUAUCUCUAGAUUUGGCUAAUUGAUUCAUUAUUUAGUCCUAUUGGGUUAAUUAAUCAAUUAUAACCUUUUUUAGGCUAGAUUAAGUGACCUAAGCCCAUGGUGAACUCAAGUUACUUAAGCUUAGUAGGAAUCACUAUAAAUACCCAUUUAGGGGUUAAGGUUUCAAGCUUCUUCCAUUCAUACCCUACAUUUUAAAGAGAGAUCUCAAGCCUCCACCCUCAAAACUUCCAUUAUUUAAGUGCCAAGCUUCAAGGUUGAGUCAUGGGACGGAAGAUCAUGGGUUUAUGAGAUCUCUUGCAACUUUGAAUUUGUUAUUCAUAGCAAGGAAAUGAUUUGGGAAUUCUAAAUCAAUAGUAAGCACUCUAAUCUCAUUAUCUAGAUCCUAAAAUUGAUUUUAAAUGCAUAUUUUCCACUAUGCAUAGUAAUUAGAUAAGCAUAGGGAGGAUUGCAUGUAUCUAACCUGAUUUUAGGAUAGAGAAUGGAUUAAUCAAACAUUGCCUACAACUGGUAUCAAAAGCUUAGGUUAGGGAAACAUAUGAUCCCUUUUAGGGUGUGCUAAUCCUUGUGUUAUAGGAUUUGUUAUUCAUUUGAUGGUCCUAGGGAUGAAGGUAUAUGCAUGAGAUUUUUUGAACUUUUAUUAUGAUAAAUAUAUAUAGUGAUUGAUUGUUAGAUUGGUUUUUAUUAAUCUCUAGAUGAGUUGUAAACCCCAUAAUAAGUCUUAAGAUUUUUUUAUUUGCUAUAAAAAUCUUUUUUUUUGUUUUAUAGAUUGGUUUGUGAAGUUCAAAUGAUUGGAGUAUAGGGGUUUGAUGUGAAAAUCCAGUUUACAUCUAUCUAUGUAACCCAUAAUGAGUAUGGAAGCAUUCAAAUUCUUGUACAUUCCCUUAUUGGAAAAAAAAAAGUCCUUUUAAGGAAAAUAGUUACUAGAGGUACAAAAAUUCAUUCUCAGAUUUGGUUUCAUCAAGUGCUUAAGCACUCCUUCUAACACUCAAAAGCAACAUUUAAUGCUUGAAGCAUUUCAAGCUCUCUAAAGUUCCUUCAAGUGCUCCUAAAUGUUCUAGUAUCUGUUUUAGGGUUUUUAGGGGUAAUUUUGGUCUGUUGUAAAACCACUAACGUUAUUUUUGUUAUAGGAUUUUUUGGUAUGUUUGGAUAAUGAAAAUUUAAUAUUUAGGCUACCAAAUAAGCAACAGAACCCCUAAGUCCAUGAGAUUCCCUAUUUAUUUUAUUUUAUUUUCUUUUAUGUUUCUAUUCUAUAUUACAUAUGAUAAGAAGUUGAAUAAAAAUUUUUUCAAAAAUGGUAAUUUUGGAUUUUCUUAUAGAAAAUAAAUUUUCAUGAGGAUUGUCACCAAGUAUUAUUUAUUUUAGAAUUGGAUGUUUCUAUUAUUGGAUUGGCAUCCCUUUUGGAACUUUCCUAUUGUUUCUGGUUAGGUGGUUCUCUAGGCUCUCCCCUCGUGAGAAAGAUAACAACACCAAAGAUAGUCCUCUAGGUCCUCAUGAGAAAGAGAACAACAAAAACAGGAUGUGAUUUGUCCAUAUAAAAUUGUUUUAACAAUUUUUCUAUAUAUGUUGACUGAUGGACUAAUGUGUCAUUUGAUCAAUGCUUGAUCUACAAGCCGAGACAAUAUCUUGUUUUCCCUAAAUCUUUCAUUUUAAAUUCCUUCUUUAAAUAAUUGGUUAUUUUUGUGAGCUCUUUAAGAGUCCCUGUAAGGUUCAAAUCAUCCACUUAUACUGUAAUUAUUGUGAGCUUGGAUUAUGAUUUCUUAAUAAAAACACAUGGGUAAAAUGGCUUAUUCACAUAUUACUCUUUUAAUAAAUACUCACUCAAACGAUUAUACUACAUGUGUUCAAAUUGAUUUAAUUUAUAGAGAUCUUUGUAGUUUGAUUGAGUACAUAUUUCAAGGUUUUGAAUUAGUCGUUUUCAAGUAAUUUGAAUCCUUCAAGGAUUUUCAUAUAUAUGUCAGUAUCUAUAGACCCAUAUAAAUAAGUUGUAAUAACAUCCAUGAGACGCAUAUCUAGUCCUUUAGAAACUAUUAAACUUAUCAAGUAUCGAAAUUUGAUUGUGUCCAUUGCAGGAGAAUAAUUUUCCUCAUAGUUUAUAACAGGUCUUUGCAAAAAACCUUGAACAAGUCAUGCUUUAUAUCUUGUGAUGUCAUUAUUCUCAUUUCGCUUUCUCAUAAAGGCCCAUUUAUAUCCAACAUGCUUUAUGUUUUCAAGUGUUUGAAAUACAGGUCCAAAACCUCUCAUUUUGCUAACUAGUUUAGCUCUAUAUGGAUUACUUCUUUCCAUCUUGGUUAAUCAUUCCUUUUUCGAUGUUCAUCCACAGUUUUUUGUUCUUGAUCUUCAUUAUUUAUCAUGAUGUCCAUAAUUAAUUGGAACACAAAUAUGUUGUCUAUGAUAAUGUCAUUACGGUUCCUUGUUUGUCCUAUGUGACUCAUUGAGAUCUCUUUAGUUCUAAAUACCAGUAUUUAAUCAAUUAGUGCCUCUUUAGGAGCUAACUAUUUAUCAAGUUGGGUUUUAGCAUUUGAUCCUUUCCUAUUUGUAAGCUCUUCAAGAGUACCAAGUUUUUCAUAUGUCAUUCUUUUUCUUUUUUAGAAAUUGAAUCCUUUGAGCCAAUUGGUCUACCAUGCUUUAGGCGUGUCUUACAUUCACUUGCGAUGGCAUUCUCCUAUUAUCCUUUAGGGACAUCAAUAUGUGUAAGGUAUUCACAACUUGUACGUGUGACUUUGUUACUUUCAUUAUAUUUGUCAAAGCAUCAAGUAACUAAUUUGCAAGUCCUUAUAAAUGAAUAAUGAUUACUACUCAAAAAGUGCUAUUUGAUAGCCUAUAAUUAAUCCUUUUAAACACUUUUGAGUAGUAGUUUAGGUCUUUUAACUCAAUUGGCAUGUUAAGGAUCCUUUAAAGCAAUUUUAAUCACUUUGUGCAAGUUUUGGUGUUUUUGUUAGUAUUUUGAUCACCAAAGCAAGUCAAGACUGAGGAGAGCUAUGAGGAAUCUUGGGCAAAGCUUAGAAGUCAUUUGCCAAGAGUGAAUCCGGAUUGCAAGGAGAAAAAGCAAAGAGAAUCUGCCAUAAAGCAUAUUCUUGAUGACAGCAGUAGCAGCCACUUUUGGAGCACUUUCUGAAGUCCAAAUGAUGCAUGCUAUAUACCAUUUCAAAGCUCAGGAAGUCAACAAUCCAAUGCUUCAAACGGUGUGCAAUUCAUAGUUGAAACGAAGAAGUUGCAGCCGUUACAAGACAAUCACUCCGAGCUGAAGGAAGCAUUUUGCAAAGUGCUGCGAAAUCACCCUUUUGUUGCGAAGUGAUUUCGCAGCAUUUUUGUACAGUAAGGUGUUUCUCCUUCUGACGAUGCACGAUUUAUGCCGCGAGAAGGAAGCUAGGAACCUCAAGGUAGAAGCCAACUUCGCAGCCUUGUGAAGAUAGCUUGGUGUUGCAAAAAUAUUUCGCAGCCCUCUUGAGUGUCUGCGAAAUCUCGCAGACACCAUUUUUCUCCUGCGAAAUGGUUCCUGAAGCCUCCCGAUAUUUGCUACCGACAUUGGGAGAUAUUUUCCAUUAGAUUUUUGUUGUCUAAAUCCCAAAAUACUCCUUGUAAACCACCAAUUACAUGAUUCCUUAGUUUUAAGUUAGUAAAAAGACUAAAUAUCUAUGUAAUAAUUAGUUUUAUAUUAUGUUCAUAUAUAUACCUCUCGGGAGCCUGUUCUCGGGGAGGAGUUCCUUCUGUAAAAGUUUGGGUAAGCAAGUAAAGUCUCUUUUCUUUCUACUGCCUUACCUUCUCACUUUGUAUUUUUUACUUAUUACUAAGUUAUGAACUCUCUGAGGAGUUUUCCCCAGAGAAUGAGUAACUAAACCUCUAAUUCCUUGGAGCUAAGGUUGCCGGGGGAGGUUCCAAGUGCAAGAAUGCAAAGCUUUGUGGUUUUAGCUAGUAAUGAAGAGGAAGUGAAAUCCUUCAAUGAUUUCUAUGUUUUUAGUUAACUUAAAACACCUUGGAGUCACCUAGGCCAACACUUGGUAAGGCAAGUGAUUUCCAACCAUGGAAAUGCACUAGUUUACCCCUUGCGAGCCUCUGGGAGGUGACUUGAAGGUAGGAUUUUCUAGAAUUGCCAACACUUGGUAAGCUUUUGGACUCCUAGGAGACAUCCAUUAGUUAUCUCUUGCGAGCUUUUGACGGGUAAUCCAAGGUUAAAGAUCACCUUGAAUGGUUAAGGCUUAGUGAGAGGCUUAAACCAUUGCAAGUUGCAUCAGUGAGAGAAUUAAAGUGAAAUCUAAUUGAAGGAGUCUCUGUACAUCACCGGUUAGAGAAUUGACUAUAUGUUGAAUCUCUAAUGCGAGGAAAUGAACCAUCUGACCAAAGCCGUGUCUUUUGCAUGAGGAACCACCCCAGUGAACCUAAAUCUCCAAGGAAUGCUUUUCUUCCUAAAUUAUUCCAAACUUCUGUUAUGUUAGUUAGUUUAAGUCUAAACCUUUACCAAUCAAAGUUUGUGUUUUACUUCUUAAGCUAACCUUGAAAUGAAACAAGGCCAAUUCACUUGGAAUUGGUAUCAUUGAUUGCUUGUUAAUCAUUCCCAGUGAACGAUCCUAGAGCCACUAUACUAUAGUAGCUUUGUCUUUGCUACCCUAGUAUAUGGUGUUAUAGGUUAUAAAUUUUGUUGAUUACUCCCUCAAUCAAGGAGCACCAGCUGGACACAAAUCAGCUGAGACACCAAUUGGGCACGAAUCAAAUAAUCCUAUGAAAUUCUAAUUAACACUGCCUUGCACGAGGAUCAAGAUGAGACAAAGAGGAUACAUAACAUGUAAUGUCUCGCCAUUGUUCUGGAUUUGAUUUGUCACCCGUAAUGGUGGGAAAACAUUUUCAUCAAAAUGAAAAUCUACAAAGUGGGCAAUAAAAACAUCGCUUAUUAAAUGUUCAAGAUAGCUAAUAAUGGAGGGAGAAUUAAAACCAACAUAUAUACCAAGUAGAUGUCGAGGACAUAACUUAAAACAUUGAGGUAGAGCUAUGGGAACAUAGACAAUACAACCAAAAAUAAGUAAAUAUGAAACAUUUAGUUGGGAGCCUAAAAUAAGUUGUAAAUGUGAGAAUUCAUGAAGUUGUAGAACAAAAUGUGAAUUAAAGUAACUACAUGGAGAAUAGCAUGUCCCCAAGUAGAUAAAGGCAAUUUUGUUCUCAGGAAUAACGGUUUUGCAAUCAAUUGCAAAUGCUUAAUAAGAGAUUUAGCUAAUCCAUUUUGAGUGUUAGUAUGAGCAAUAGGAUGUUCAACAUCAAUACUAACCGACAUACAAUAAUCAAGAAAUAUUUGGGAAGAGAAUUCACUAGAAUUAUCAAGACAAAUUGUCUUAACAGGGUUGUGAAACCAAGGUUUGGUCAAUCUUAGUUUUGAUGAUAACAAAAUAAGGUUUGGAAUUAAUGAUUAUAUUUCAAUUGUGAUUAGUCGAGAUGACUUUCAAAGUGGCAAUCAUAAAGACAAAAUCAAGCCAAAGGGAAAUCAAUAAGGUGAAGAAGACCUCAAAGAGAAAUGUCUUUCAAGACCUAAGUUUCAUAGGAUCUCUUUGUAAGGUUGUUAGUGCAUUUGUUUUUUUUUAUGCAUUACAUUAUUUACUUAUGCACCAAAACCAUCCAAGAGUUAUUUUGUUUCAAAUAUUUUAAAAUCGGAUGAUUUCAUGUUUUCUAAACUUUUUAAAAAGGUUUUAAGUUAAAAAAAAAUGGUUGUUAAGCCAAAAAUGGCUCAACCGGCUAAACUGGCUAAAGAACUGAUUGACCUAUUUAGUUCAACCGAUCGAAUUAUGCAAAAACCUUCUCUAUAUUCUAGAAUGCUUUUUCGACCGGUCGAGGCUAAACCUCAUCUAGUUGAGUACGAAUCGAGGGGUGGUCAAGAGACGAUUGAGGUCCAUUGGUCACCUGCCAUGCAUUAAACGUCAACGGUUAAUGAACUCAUCGAAUUAGAGCUCAACUGGACGAACCCCUAACAGCUAGUUUAACAUUUUUCUUCUAUAACUAGUCUUCAUUGUUUUAAGAGCUUAACCUUCCAAAACCUUUCUUGAAUAUACUUAAGCCUUGGGAGAGUGUUUUUGAGUGCAUCAUUAUUAUGAAACUUGCAUAUCAUUAACGCACUUUUCAAUCCUAGUUUAUCUCUUAUCAUUUGAGCCUAAAGUUUUGUACUAGGGUUUUGUGAGAUUAUUUUUCAUCCUUAUUUGUAAAUCUUUGAGAAGAAAAGGCUAAGUGUGAGGUAUCACUUAAGGAUUCUCAAGUGUGAGGUAUCACUUUAGGGGUUGUUCAAGAGUGAGGUAUCUCUUGAGGAUUGUAAAGGGUGCUUGGAGCCAAAAGUCCAAGAGGAUUGAUUGGAACCAUAAUCCAAUUGGAUUGCUUGAAGGCUUGGAUUGGAAGCCUUGAAUUAGUGAAACCUCAAGCUUGGGAUUGAAGCUAGAGAAGAGUGAACGUAGGCCAAGUUCCGCCAAACCAUUAUAAAAAUCUUAUGUUUGCAUUCGGGAUCCCAAGUCAUUCAUAUCAUCCAUAACCCUGAGUUGUUCAUAUGAUCCAGAGCCCUGAGCUCACGACUUAGAGUAGCACAUGUCAUCCAUAAUCCUAAUCUUUUUAUAGAAUCUAGAGCCAUGGGUUCACAACCAAAAUCAUUCACAUCAAUCAUAACCUUUUAUCUCAUGACCCAAAGACAUUUAUAUCAUACAUGACAUUGAGCCGUUCAUAACAUCAAGAGCCCUAAACUCCUGGCUCGGAUUAGUUAUUGUCAUCCAUAGCCCUGAGUUUUUCAUAGCAUCUAGAGCCUGGAGCUCACGACCUGGAGUAGUUCAUGUCUUCCACAGCCCUGAGUUAUUCAUAACAUCUAGAGCCCUAAGCUCAUGACCUGUAGUUGUUCAUGUUAACCACAACCCUAAGUUAUUCAUUGCAUCUAGAGUCUUAAGCUCAUAACCCCAAGUCGUUUAUAUCAUCCACGAACUUGAGUUGUUCAUAGAAUUUAGAGACCUAAGCUCACGAGGUGAAGUGGUUCAUAUCCUACACUUCCUUAUGUUUUUUGUAGCAUUUAGAGACCUAAGCUCAUAACAUGCAGACAUUCAUGUCCUCCACCGCCCUAAGUUGUUCAUAGCAUUUAGAGCCUUGAGCUCAUGACUCAGAGUCGUAGAUGUCAACCAAAGUCCUGAGCUGUUCAUUUCAUUUAGAGCCCUAAGCUAAUGACCUCAAGUCAUUUAUGUCAUUCACAAUCCUAAGCUAUUCAUGAAAUUCAGAGACCUGAGCUCAUGACAUGGAAUCAUUCAUGUGCUCUACCACUCAAAUCUUUUCAUAGAUCUAGACCUAUAAGAUCACAACCAAAAUCGUUCAUGUCAUCCAAAAUCCCGAGUUGUUCAUUUUAAUAGCCUUGAGCUCACGACCUAAAGUCAUUGAUGUCAACCACAACCCUAAGUUGUUCAUAAAAUCUAGAGCCUUAAGGUCACGACCCAGAGUCGUUCAUGUCAUCCACAACCCUGAGCUAUUCAUAGUAACUAGAGCCUUUGGCUUACAACGAAGAAAUGUUCAUAUCAUCCACAACUUUGAGCUAUUCAUAGCUUCUAAAGCCCCAAGCUCAUAGUACCCUGAGUUGUUCAUGUCUUCCAUAACCCUCUACUCUUCAUACCCGUGAUUUUCUACCAAAAAUUGCCAUGAAAAAGUCUUCACAUGCAUCUCAUGCAUCCUCUUGCAGUCGUCUGAAGACAAGUCAGUGUGCUUUGCUUCACUAAAAUUCAACGUGCACCAAGUCUCUAUGUAAAGAUGAGUCGGUUGCAACCCUCCUAAAAUUUCUCCAUUAACGGAUCCCAAGUAUCUCCACCAAAAUCAUACAAAGAUAAAUACAAAAAAUAAAAAUUAGAAAUUAGAUAAUAUUUUAAAAUAAAUAAAUAAAUAAAUAAAAUCUCAAAUGAUGCAAUGAGGGCAAAAAAAAAAAAAAAAGAAUAUCAAUCACAUACGUAGUUAAGUAGAAAAAAGAAUAUUAUUCCAUGUAACUUAAAAGAUUAGAUUCAAAAUCUCAAGCAAUUUCCUAAAAAAUAAAUAAAUGAAUGAAUGAAUAACCUAACAAAAGAAUAAGUAAAUAAAUGAACAAAUAAAUAUCACAUGGGCAAUUAGAAUUUGAAAAUAAAAAUAAAGCAAUAGAAAACAAUGAAAAACGGAUGCAAUCAAGAAUCAAAAUCAAGUCCAAACAAAUGUCCAAAAUGACCUAUUAUGAAAAAAGUGCCUAAGUGACCUAGGGUGAAUGUGUGCAAGCUGGAAGGUGCCUAGGUCAAUCUAAGUGGGCCUAGGUGAACCUAGAUGAGUCUAACCUAAAGUGCAAAUUAAGGUUGCCGAGGGUCACAAUGGGGUUAGAUAAAUCUCUCGAUCAGAGUCUUCGAGGUGGCUCAAAAAAGGUAAGUAUAGUAUGAGUAACAAUGGACCACCAAGGAACUACUAUGGAGCACUAGAAGUGAACUUAAAGACAUGUGCUAAAGGGACAAAAUCAAGGGUCUACAUAUAUGUUUAAUUUACUUUAAACAUUUGAAUAACAUUGUUUUUAUUUAUAAAAAUAAAAUAAAUUUUAAAAAUCAAAUUUCAUUUCUUUUACAACAUACAUUUAUAUUAAAUUAUUUAUAAUUAUUAAUUAAUUUGCUAUUAAAAAUAUAAUAAUAAUAUAUCUUAACAAGGAAAUUUUGAAUUCUUGAAAAAAUGUUUAAAAUAAUUGUUAUAAAUGAAGUGGUGAAUGCCACCACAUCGUUAUAAUAAAUGUUAAUUAAACAUUAUUUAUGACUUCUAUUAAUUCAAUAUUAAUGGAAGCCAUUUAGAAAGUCUAUAGAAAGGUUUCCCAUCCCCUAUGCAAGGAGCAUCCUGAGAAAAGAAGCAGUCUCUCAUUCUCUCUGUUUUUCAUUCUCUCAUCUCUCCUAAUUUUCUUCUCUAAUUUCUUUCUCCCCAUUAUAUAUUGUUAAAGUAAUAUAUAUUUGUCUCUACUUUUAUUUGCAUUUAUUAUGGUUUUGCAACAAUAAUUUUUAUUUUUAUUUUUCUAUUUUAAAUACACAAAACUUGGGUUCACAUUUUGGUUGUUAAGUGGUCUUAACAUUUCUAUGUGUUUUAAAUAUGGUUCCUGCUUUUUAUUUUUAAAAUAGUAAUAACAGUAAUCAUUAGUAUAAUGUACAUAAAAAUAAUACUUGUAAAGAAAGAAAAAAGAAGAAGUAGUUUUUAAGAUAAUAGAAUGGUAUAAUGUAUGACUAUUGAAAUGUUAAUCAAGCUAAAUAUUAACAAAGUUUUAUUUUACCAUUGCAUAUAUUUUUAAAUGAUACAUUUAUAUUAUGUAAUAGAAUUAGAAACAUGAAUAUUUUUACAUUUCAUUGUUUAUCCUAAUUAUGAUAUAAUAUGCUAAAUUUUAACUAUAAAAAGAUGAAAUAAUUUUAAUUAUUUGUAUAUUUUUAAUUUUCAUUAUAUGUAAAUUACAUAUUUAUCAUGUAUGUUCACAUCAUUAUUCUACGUAAUUCAAUCAUUGAUCUAACCAGUGAACUAUUGAUCGAUUUUUAUUUAAUAACUGGUUCGACUUUGAAAAUAUUGUGAGAUACAUCAAGAUGCUUUUUUUAAAUAAAAAAAAUUAUUUAUUAGUUUUAAGAGAAUAUCUAUUAAUGUUUUCAUUUAUGAACAUGAAAUAAUUUUUUUAAAAUCAAAUUUCCUUUGUUUUAUAAUAUGUAUUUUAUUUUAAAAUAUUAUUAAUAAUUAUUGAGUAAUCUGCUAUUAAAAAUAUCACAAUAAUACCUUUAUAUCUUCAUAAGGAAAUGUUGGAUUCAAAAAAUGUUUUAAAACAAUUAUGAUUGGACUUCUUGGUUUCGGUUAAUAUUCCAUGCCUUAAUUACAGUCUUAAUUUGGGAUUGAAUUAGGGUUGUAACUAGAUUGGAAUGCUAACUUUGGCUAUGCCUUUCUAGCUUCAUCAACUGAUCCUGAAGCCUCUGUUAUAUUGGCUUCAGUGGCAUCCACUGCCUUUAUUCUAUAAAUAAAAUAAAAUAAAUUACAACCGGAAAGUUUAAUUUGUAAUGUGAUUUUUAAAAAUUUAAGUCCAAUAUAUAUUAUUUACUCAUAAUAAUAAUAGUUUUAUAUCUUUAGAAUAAAUUAUUAAUUCCUGAAAAGUGUUUUAAAAUAUUUAAUUUUUUUUAAUAAACAAAAUUCACAAUUUUGGUUGUUGAGUGGUCCUAACAUAUUUCUUUUAUUUUUCUUUUAUUGUUUAUAGUAAGUCUCCAAGACCUUCCUUGGUAACACGAACUCUUCACCAACCAACCUCACAGGCUCCGCUCCAUAGAGGCAACUUCACAUCUAUGUGGGAACCAACCAAAAUUGAAAAGAAAAAAAAUCUACGAAUUAUUUAAUUUAGGAAACUUCCACCAACCGACACUCGUUGAACUUGGACACCGUAUGUCAUUUGGAUGAAAUUUUAUUUUAUUUUAUUUUUCUUUCUAUUUAAAAAAUAAAUAUUUUUAAAUUUCAAAAUAAAUAUAUUUUAUUAGUUUUGUUUUACGCUUCUCAUAGUCUCAAAAAGACUAUUGAGAAAUUUAAAAACAGAAAAAAAUAUAUGAAUCCAACCAUUUACAAAUUAAAUUCAAUUUUCGUUAUAAAAUGAGAAAUAAAAAUAAAAGCACAAAUAUAUAUUUCUAGGAAGUAGGGUAUUCAAGUUGAGGUUUGUUCGGAAUGCUGCCAAAUAUUUUAACGCAAGAAAAAUGCUUCAGCCAAAACAAUGGUCAAAUGAGGCAGCGCAAGAGAUUUAUCCCUUUUUAAAAAAUCGCAACUGGAGGGUGGAGGCUGAAGGGCGGAUGUCAUACAAAAUUGACUACUUUCUCAGUAAUCCCCUCCACGUGACUCAAAUCAGCACGGAAGUAUUGAACAAGACCCCACCACCAGCUACAAGUGGGUUGGAAGUGGACACAGCAUUUCUGAUACUUAUAAAUACCCAACGCUCACACACUGCUUUGGCAACCCAUCUUCAAGCACCAGUCCGCAUACUCUUCUCUUUUCUUCUACCGCUUUGAAGCUCUGUGGGGGAUUUUACUAGUCAUCAAUGGCAUCUGUGGAGGACAUUAGAAACGCUCAACGUGCCAAGGGGCCGGCCACCAUUCUAGCCAUUGGCACUGCUACUCCAGACAACUGUGUCUACCAGUCCGAUUACGCUGAUUACUAUUUCCGGGUCACUAAAAGCGAGCACAUGACCGACUUGAAGAAGAAGUUCAACCGCAUAUGUAAGUAUAUAUAUUCAUGCAUCAAUUGGAACAUCCAUUACAUACAUAUAUGUAUAAUUAUCAUAAUGCUUUAAGAUUCCCCUGCAAGAAUUGCCAAGUUUUCUUCAAGCUUCCUGUGUGUUGCUUUUCUGUAAACUAAUUAAAUCUGUGAAAAAUGAGGCGCUAUACAUUGAUUUAAUAUUUCGUAAUAGCGCUGCUCUUUCCAAUCCUAUAUAAAUUAAUUGCCCUGCCUAGGAACACAUAGUUAUUGUAAUAAUAAGUAAUAAUCUAUUUUAUAUUUAUGUUGAUCAUCUUGAGUGAUAAUGAAGCUGCCCAUUAUUACUGAAUGAAUUUUGCUUUGCUAGUCCAUUAGCUAAUAUAUUAAAUUCCUUUAACUUAUAUAUAGGUGAGAAAUCAAUGAUCAAAAAGCGAUACAUUCAUUUGACUGAAGAAAUGCUUGAAGAGCACCCAAACAUGGGUGCUUACAUGGCUCCAUCGCUCAACAUACGCCAAGAAAUUAUCACUGCUGAGGUACCUAAGCUUGGUAAGGAGGCCGCAUUGAAGGCUCUUAAAGAGUGGGGCCAGCCUAAGUCCAAGAUCACUCACCUUGUAUUUUGUACAACUUCGGGAGUAGAAAUGCCGGGUGCAGACUAUAAACUAGCCAAUCUUCUAGGCCUCGAAACAUAAGUUAGAAGAGUGAUGUUGUAUCAUCAAGGCUGCUAUGCAGGUGGGACCGUUCUCCGAACUGCUAAGGAUCUCGCAGAGAAUAAUGCAGGAGCACGAGUUCUUGUGGUAUGCUCUGAAAUCACGGUUGUUACUUUUCGUGGGCCUUCUGAAACCCAUUUAGACUCUUUAGUGGGUCAAGCCCUUUUUGGUGAUGGGUCAGCAGCUGUAAUUGUUGGAUCAGAUCCAGAUACCUCCAUUGAACGACCACUCUUCCAACUUGUUUCAGCGGCCCAAACAUUCAUUCCUAAUACACAAGGUGCUAUUGCUGGCAACUUACGAGAGGUGGGUCUAACCUUUCAUUUGUGGCCUAAUGUGCCUACUCUCAUUUCUGAGAAUAUAGAGAAGUGCUUGACUCAAGCUUUUGGCCCACUUGGUAUUAGUGAUUGGAACUCCUUGUUUUGGAUCGCUCAUCCAGGUGGCCCGGCCAUUCUGGAUGCAGUCGAAGCAAAACUCAAUUUGGAGAAGAAGAAACUUGAAGCAACAAGACACAUCUUAAGUGAGUACGGUAAUAUGUCAAGUGCAUGUGUGUUGUUUAUUUUGGAUGAGAUGAGAAAGAAAUCACUUAAGGAAGAAAGGACCACCACAGGUGAAGGAUUGGACUGGGGUGUUUUAUUUGGUUUUGGGCCAGAUUUGACCAUUGAAACUGUUGUGCUGCAUAGCGUUGUUGGGGCUACAAAUUGAGUGAAAGGAGACAAUUUCAAAUUAAAUCAAAUAGGAGUUAAUAAAGACAUAUGUCUUUUAUUUGUAACAUCUUUUAUUCUUUAUUUAAAUUGAUGUUUGUGGUUUAAAUUAGUGCUUGUCGGAGGGCUUCAUUAGUAACCUCAAGUUAAAAGGGAUGAGACAUCAAGUUCUUACAGUUUUGUUAUCCAGAUGAAAUUCCCUCAAAAGUUGUAUAAACAUCCACCGUGUUCUUUUAAAGAUUGUUGAGAGUAAUACAAAGAAAAGAAUAAAAUAAUAAAUUGCAUUUUCCCUUUGUAACUAAGAAGUCUGCUGCAUGAUAGCUGCAUUUGUGUGACAGAAGCAAAGCCAUGUGGAUGCCAAAAGUAAUGCAACAAUUUUAAAAGAGUAAACAGGGCGGUUGAUUAGUUAACUUCCAUAAUUCCGCAACAUUUGAUUCAAAAGACUUUAGCUUUAUCAAUUACUUAACUACUACUCCGUAUGUGGAUAAAUUCUUGUACCAUCUGAAAAGGUAUAGAAGAUAGUUAUCCUCAUAAAUAGGUUGCCUAAUUAAUUAGGUGAUCUUCAAUAAUUCAACAAGAUAGGGAUUUUAAAAUAUUUUUACUUUAUUAAUUCCUUAACUACUCCUUAAACUUCUUUUUUUCCCCUUUUUGUGAAAAGCUCUUUACCCUCAAUACAUAUGAUAUAUUCCGUUGCUAGGAACUUGGGUUUGAGUAUGUAUUAAUUACUAUUCUUAAUCAAAUUUAUUAUUGAAAAAUUAUUUUUAGUUAUGGUUUUUUUAAUAUACUUAUUACACAUUUAUCAUAUGUACUUGUUUAAUAUACUUCUAAUAUAUUUAUCAUUCAACAACAAAUACGAGAAAAGGUAUAAAAGACAAUGAAAUUACAAACUAAAUUGCCUUCAGUUUUUUUAUAGUUGAAGGCCUUCUUUUCCACCCCCAGUCUCCAAUAAAUUAGACUCUACAAAGCUUCUUCUAUGCUACUCUCUGAUUCUACUUCUAGUGCAAAGAUUUUGCAGUACUCUACAUUAUCUUGCUAUUGCUAAGAGACAAUCCAAGAAUAUUGAAGAUAAUGAAGUUAGGUUGUUGUAGUAUAAUACCUGAGUUCUUCUCUACUUGCAACUAUGGGACCGUACAUGAAGAAGCAUUUAAUAAAGGGUUUUAAGAAGCAUAACAUAUUUUUAAGGCCAAAUUAUUUACAAAUAAAGUGCAACAACUACAUAAAAAAAUGAAUUUUGAUGAAUCAUGAUUGAGGGCGAAUUUAUUUUUCGAAAUUAAUAAUUUUAAAAAAAAAAAUCCAUUUCAUCACAAUGAAAGAAUUAAUGCAAAAAUUUAGUGCUUGUUUCUAUAUACUUAGUGUUAGCUACUUUUAAAAAUGGAAAAUGAUAAUAACUUUUGUAUAAAAUGUAUUUUUUUUUUUUUUUUGUAGAAAAAUAUAUACUUCUAAACAAUUUUUUAAAAAUAUUAUAUUUUUAUUGUAAGACUUAGAAAGCUCUUAUAUUUUAUAUUAGAGUUACUAGCUUUUUCUAUUUUAAAAACAAGAAACACGAAUUGCUCCGAACACUAAAUAGUUAUUAAAAAUAUUUAAUCUAAUUUUUUUUAUUUAGUAUAAAUUGAUUAAUUUAAAAUUUUUACAUCAACUGUUAUAUGAUAACGAAUAAUUUAAGUAUCACAUACAAAGUUAUGCAAAAAAAAUUGAUAAUUUUAUUUCAGAUGAUUCACAAUAUUUCAAUGUUUUUUAAAAUAUAUUAAUUUUAAAAAAUAAAUUUAUUUAUAGAAAACAUGCAGUAAAUAUAUAAAAGAUGGAUCUGAUGAAACAUUAAUUAAAGUGAACUUCUUUUUUCAUAAAAACAAUUUUAAGAAAAUUAAUUUCACCACAAAGAAAUAUUUUCAAAGAUUUAGUAAUCAAAACUAUCAUAUUUAAACUCAAUUAUUUUUAUACUUUAUGUUCAUCCCUACAACGAUUUUUUUUAAAAAUUAUUUUAAUAUGAGUGUACUAAAAGUAUUAUUUACCAAAAAAAAAUUAUUAUUGACACAGAAUAUAAAUCUCUAUUGCAAUCUAAGAAUGCUUAGGUUCCAAAACCUUGAUUUAUUCAUUUUUGCUAACCAUACCUACAUUCACGGAUUAUAAAGAAUCAUUUAACUAUACCAUAGAAAUUAUUAUAGUAAAUAGAAAAAAUACCAUUAUUAAACCCCACAAUAUCUCAUAAUUUCUUGUUUGUUAUAUCUACACCUUAAACUAGUAGCUUUGGCUCCCUAUGGUGUCACAUAUUCUUCCUUACUAUUAGGAUAUAGCCCUUAAAAAAUUUAGGGUUUAUUAUUUAUUCAAUAAAGUUCAAAUUUCACUUUAAUUAAUCAAUAGUCCAUGGAUUAUACCUUAUGAGCAUUUAGACCUACAUCUUUGCAUUAUGACUUGUAUGGAAGAUCCAAGUCAUGGAUCCCUUACAAGUAGAUGGGUUGUUCACAACUGGUUCAUGAACUUAGACAAUCUAUUAGACUUCUUAAUUGGAGGGAUGGUUAGUCUUGGCCAUCGGGAUGGGUUUCCCAUGAUGAGUACACUAAAGUGUAUGGUUACAUAUUGGAUAGGACCUAUAGUGAACCAUAAUGUAAGUUUAUCAAGUUGUCAUGACUUCACUAAGCUAUGUUAUUGUAUUGUCUUUCAACCUUGAAAGAAUAUUGAACUUGAGCAGAAGUUAGUAGUGACUUUAACCUAUGGGUAAGAUCUUAAAGUGAUCAUAUAUUUCUUAUGGAUUGGACCACUGUUGAUGAAAACUACUAACAAUAGGUAUUCUCAAUAUAAGCACCAUGAUAUUUAAUGGGAUUGACACAGUGUGUUCCCUUGGGUGAUCUUAAGGAUGUGUGUUUAGGUCAACCAUGGUCAUCAUAAUUCCUUGAGUGGAAUUUGAUAUUAGUUUUUGGUGAGCUUAGAUAAUAUGUCAAAUGAUCACACUCUAAGAGGAUUUGGAACUCAAAGAUGGUAGAGGUAAUCUUCAAAAUUUGAUAACUUUUACCUUAUUAGAUUAUGGACACCGGUUCAUGGGGAGAUGUAGUGCUUAGAUCACAGACCGACCCAAGUACUAAGCAUCUCGUUAUAUUUACAUAGUGUAUUGGAGUGUAGUAGUUGACUCUCUAUUGUUGAAUGUAAAGUUAAUUUCAGAAUUGGAUUUUGAGGUAAUCAAUACUAUCCUAUGGGCCUUAAUUGUCCUCACUCAAGCUCAUAUACCUUGAUGUCACAGAUUAUGAAGGUUGGAUUGACUCUUAGUUCACUUAUGUGCAUAAGGGCAUGUUGGUAAUUACACAAGGUUGAAUAAGGGUUAUUGAAUGGUAUCUUUGGAUUGGGCUAAUUGAUUCAUUAUUUAGUCCUAUUAGGUUAAUUAAUCAAUUAGGACCUUUUGUAAGCUAAAUUAAGUGACCUAAGACCACGGUGGACUCAAGUUACUUAAGCUCAGUAGGAAUCACCAUAAAUACCCCUUUAGGGGUUAGGGUUUCAAGCUUCUUCCAUUCAUACUCUACAUUCCAAAGAGAGAGGUCUAGCCUCCACACUCAAAACUUCCACUAUUUAAGUGCCAAGCUUCAAGGUUGAGUCAUUGAAUGGAAGAUCAUGGGUUUAUGAGAUCUCUUACAACUUCAAAUUUGUUCUUCAUAGCAAGGAAAUGAUUUGGGAAUUCUAAAUCAAUAGUAAGCACUCUAAUCUCAUUAUCUAGAUCCUAAAAUUGAUUUUAAAUGCAUAUUUUCCUAUGCAUAGUAAUUAGAUAAGCGUAGGGAGGAUUGCAUGUAUCUAACCUAAUUUUAGGAUAGGAAACAGAUUAAUCAAACAUUGCCUACAACUGGUAUCAAAACCCUAGGUUAGGGAAAAGCAUGAUCCCUUUUAGGGUGUGCUAAUCCUUGUUUUGUAGGGUUUGUUAUUCAUUUGAUGGUCCUAAGGAUGAAAAUAUAUGCAUGAGAAUUUUAAACUUUUACUAUGAUGAAUAUAUAUAGUGAUUAAUUGUUAGAUUGGUUUGUUUAAAUCUAUCGAUGAGUUGUAAGCCCCAUAAUAAGUCUAAGAUUUUUUUAUUCAAUGUAAAAAUCUUUUGUUUUUUUAUAGAUCAGUUUGUAAAGUUCAAAUGAUUGGAGUGUAGGGUUUUGAUGUGAAAAUCCAGUUUUCAUCAAUCUAUGUAACCCAUAAUGAGUAUGGAAGCAUUCAAAUUCUUGUACAUUCCCUUAGCAGAAAAAAGAGUCCUUUUAAAGCAAACAGUGACUAGAGGUACAAAAAUUCAUUCUCAGAUUUGGUCUCAUGAAGUGCUCAAGCACUCCUUCUAACACUCAAAAGCAACAUUUAAUGCUUGAAGCAUUUCAGGCUCUCUAAAGUUCCUUCAAGUCCUCCAAAAUAUACUAGUAACAGGUUUUUAAGGGUAAUGUUGGUCUUUUGUAAAGCCACUAACCUUAUUUUUGUUAUAGGAUUUUUUGGUAUGUUUGGAUCAUGAAAAUCCAAUAUUUGGGCUACCAAAUAAGAAACAGGACCCCUAAGUCCAUGGGAUUCCCUCUUUUUUAUUUUAUUUUCUUUUAUGCUUCUAUUUUAUAUUGCAUAUGAUAAGAAGUUGAAUAAAAAGUUUUUCAAAAAUGGUAAAUUUGGAUUUUCUUAUGGAAAAAAAAAAUCACGAGGAUUAUCAUCAAGUAUUAUUUAUUUUAGAAUUGGAUGUUUCUAUUAUUGGAUUGACAUAUCUUUUGGAACUUUCCCAUUAUUUCGGGUUAGGUGGUUCUCUAGGCUCUCCCCUCGUGAGAAAGAGAACAACACCAAAGAUAGUCCUUUAGGUCCUUGUGAGAAAGAGAAUAACAUCAAUUGGAUGUGAUUUGUCCAUAUAAAAUUGUUUUAACAUUUUUUCUAUAUAUGUCGAUUGAUGGAUUAAUAUGUCAUUUGAACAAUGCUCGAUCUAUAAGUCGAGACAAUAUCAUGUUUUCCCCGAAUCUUUCAUUUUAAAUUCCUUCUUUAAAUAAUUGGUUGUUUUUGUGAGCUCUUUAGGAGUCCUUAUAAGGUUCAAAUCAUCCACAUAUACUGUAAUUAUUGUAAGCUCGUAUUAUGAUUUCUUGAUAAAAACACAUGGGCAAAUUGGCUUAUUCAAUGUCACUCUUUUAAUAAAUACUCACUCAAAUGAUUAUACUACAUGUGUUCGAAUUGCUUUAAUUCGUAUAGAGAUCUUUGUAGUUUGAUUGAGUACAUAUUUCAAGGUUUUGAAUUAGUUGUUUUCCAGAAAAAUAUUUAAGGGAUUUUCAUAUAUAUGUUAGUAUCUAUAGACCCAUAUAAAUAAGUUGGAAUAACAUCCAUGAGACACCACUACUACAAAAAUAGUUUAUGGUGUCACUAUUUACGGUGUCACUUUUAAAAUAAUGACACCAUAGGGUUUAUAAUUAAUAAAGGUGACACAUCAUAUAAAAAAUCUUCAAUUGAGGUAGUUAAAUGAUAUUAAUUUUAUAUUUAUAGUGUCAUUUUUUGGGAAGUGACAUCAUAUAAAAUAAAUUUUUUUAAGUAUUAUAACUUAAUGAGCCCACUUUUAGAAUUAAUAAUGAUGGAUCCUAUAUAAAAAUCCCAUUGUUUCCAUAUCUCACCCACAAUCCAAAAAAUCUCAAUAUAUAAAUCCUAUAUAUAAAAUCAUGAUCUUCUUCAACCUUUUCUCUCACCCAUCCAUAGUCAACACGCUCAAAACUGACAUUUUUCACUUUGUGGACUCCUAGGUAACCCAAAAUCUCUUGGAUCUAUCAUUUUUUUUUCUUUUAUUAAUGUCAUUAUAUUAAUUGUUUCAACAUCUUUGUAUUAUGGUUUUUGUGAAUUGUGUUUUCUUGAGUUGUAGGGAAGAAAAAUUUAGGUUUAAUCUUCUAGCAUGGAAGAAAAAACUAUAGAUUAGUUGAUUUUUUUUAAUCUAAACCAAACACAUGAUCAAGUCCUUAAAAAAAAGUGAAAAACAGGAAAAAAUGAAUGAUUUUUAAUAUGUAUUUGUGUGAGAAUGACAGGUACAGAAUUUUUUUAAGAUAUACUAUCACAUAAUCUUCAUGCUUUCUAAAAAACGAGAGAGGAAAAAAAAAAGAAUGAUUUUUCUGUUUGUAUCUAAGUGGGAAUGAGAUAUAGAAUUUCGUUGAGAGUAUCCAACCCCAAAAGGACCAAUCCGAGAAGGCAUGUGUGGUAUUGACGGGAGAUGAUAAGAUGGAAAUCAUAACCAUAGCCAUGUUCUCUCUGUGUCGUUCUAUCCUCUUCAAUUAAUUCAUGGUCAUAUAUAUUUUAUUUAGUUUUUAUAUUUAGUUUAUUUAUAGUUUAUUUAGUUUCUAAAAUCCAAUUAGUUAAAUAUUUUAUUUGAUUUUGUUUUUAUAUUUAAGUAUUUGAGUUUUGGAAAGUUUAUAUUUUGUUAAUAGAAAUAGAAAUUUUUAUAUUUUUUAUUAUUAGGAAUUUCUAUUUUGUUAAAUUGUAAGUAUUUAUCUCAAUAAGAGAUUAUUAAUAUUCAAAUGAAAGUGAUGAAAGAGAGUAAAUAUUUUUAAUGCUCAAUUAUAUUUUAAUGUUAUUUUUUUUUUACAUAAGGGUUUAUUUAUGUUUUCAAUUUUGAAGUUCCCUUUCCAAGUCCAGCAACAAAAGUAGUGUCCAACCUUAAAAUGGGCAUGUGUGGUAUUGACGGGAUAUGAUAAGAUGGAAAUCAUAACCAUAGCCAUGUUCUCUCUGUGUCUUUCUAUCAUCUUCAAUUAAUUCAUGGGCAUAGAUAUUUUAUUUAGUUUUUAUAUUUAGUUUAUUUACAGUUUAUUUAGUUGCUAAAAUCCAAUUAGCUAGAUAUUUUAUUUGAUUUUAUUUUUAUAUUUAAGUAGUUGAGUUUUGGAAAGUUUUUAUAUUUUGUUAAAUUGUAAGUAUCUAUCUCAAUAAGAGAUUAUUAAUAUUCAAAUGAAAGUGAUGAAAGAGAGUAAAUAUUUUAAUGCUCAAUUAUAUUUUAAUGUUUUUUUUUUUUUACAUAAGGGUUUAUUUAUGUUUUCAAUUUUGAAGUUCCCUUUCCAAGUCCAGCAACAAAAGUAGUGUCCAACCUUAAAAUGGGCAUGUGUGGUAUUGAUAGGAAAUGAUAAGAUGGAAAUCAUAACCAUAGUCAUGUUCUCUCUGUGUCUUUCUAUCUUCUUCAAUUAAUUCAUGGGCAUAGAUAUUUUAUUUAGUUUUUAUAUUUAGUUUAUUUAGUUUCUAAAAUCCAAUUAGCUAGAUAUUUUAUUUGAUUUUGUUUUUAUAUUUAAGUAGUUGAGUUUUGGAAAGUUUUUAUAUUUUGUUAAUAGAAAUAGAUAUGAGGACUUAAAGGGUUUAUAUUUAGGUAGUGCUUGAGCCAAGGAAAAUGAUAGUCAACUAUCUUGACCCUAUGCAUCACAAACCAUGUGANNNNNNNNNNNNNNNNNNNNNNNNNNNNNNNNNNNNNNNNNNNNNNNNNNNNNNNNNNNNNNNNNNNNNNNNNNNNNNNNNNNNNNNNNNNNNNNNNNNNAUUGUAAGUAUCUAUCUCAAUAAGAGAUUAUUAAUAUUCAAAUGAAAGUGAUGAAAGAGAGUAAAUAUUUUAAUGCUCAAUUAUAUUUUAAUGUUUUUUUUUUUUUACAUAAGGGUUUAUUUAUGUUUUCAAUUUUGAAGUUCCCUUUCCAAGUCCAGCAACAAAAGUAGUGUCCAACCUUAAAAUGGGCAUGUGUGGUAUUGAUAGGAAAUGAUAAGAUGGAAAUCAUAACCAUAGUCAUGUUCUCUCUGUGUCUUUCUAUCUUCUUCAAUUAAUUCAUGGGCAUAGAUAUUUUAUUUAGUUUUUAUAUUUAGUUUAUUUAGUUUCUAAAAUCCAAUUAGCUAGAUAUUUUAUUUGAUUUUGUUUUUAUAUUUAAGUAGUUGAGUUUUGGAAAGUUUUUAUAUUUUGUUAAUAGAAAUAGAUAUGAGGACUUAAAGGGUUUAUAUUUAGGUAGUGCUUGAGCCAAGGAAAAUGAUAGUCAACUAUCUUGACCCUAUGCAUCACAAACCAUGUGAGGACUUAAAGGAUAUCAUAAACAUGUAAGUUCUUCCUAUUAUUUUUCAUAGUAUUAUUUUUAAAUAAAAAAAAUACAUUCACCUCAAACACAUUUUUUUUAUUAUUUAUAUAUAUUAAAACAUAUAACAUUUACCUAUUUUAAAAAUGUACCCAUUGAACUUAUUUACAUAAGGCUCUUCGAAUAUCUACAAAGAAAACAUCUAAGAGGGAGCCAUCUUAGCAACUAGUGCAGGUGACAUCCAAAAAUUUUUCUUUACACAUUAGGUUAUGCAUUUGCACCAUUUAUAUAUGUGAGUACUAAUGUUAUUUUAUAAUUGAUCGAUUAGUGUCCAAGACAAGAAGGAGGGUUCGAAUGUGGCUACUUUGUUAUGAGAUUCAUUAAAGAGAUAAUUUUUUAUCCUACAAUUAUUGCUUCAAAGGUAUUACUUAUUUAAUGAAUUGUACAUAGUUUUAGGCUUCCAAAUGUUAUGCAUUUUAAUGUUAUUUUCUUAUUUGAUUUCAGUUUGGUAAUAAAAAAAACAUAUUCUCAAGUAGAAUUCGAUGAAAUUAGAGGAGAAUGGGCUACUUUUGUNNNNNNNNNNNNNNNNNNNNNNNNNNNNNNNNNNNNNNNNNNNNNNNNNNNNNNNNNNNNNNNNNNNNNNNNNNNNNNNNNNNNNNNNNNNNNNNNNNNNCUAUAUUCUCGAUUCAGAAAACUCUUUUACACAGAGAUCAGAGAGCAUAGGAUUGAAGGUUUGAAGGUUUAGGGUUUGAAGAUCAAUUUUUCAGGUAAAAUUUUUAAUCUUUAAAUUAAUAUUUUAUAUUUGUUAAUUAGUUACCAUUUCCUACGAUCACAGAGUUCUUACCCAUGUAAUUUUUGGACUGAUCCAAAAUAGAUGGAUCGGUGGUCAUAUGGGCCAAAGCUCCGGUGUCCAAAAACCAGUUAGCAGCCUUAGGUCCAGAAAGAGAACAAGAUGUGUUGAAGGCUUCGGCAAGAUGAGUAGAGGAAUCAGUCCGAGCAUACCGUUGGUUGCAGCGGUCAACAUAAUGGCCCUCUAUGCGACAAAUUUGGCAGCGAGGUGGUCGACGACCAUGACCAGAGUAGGUUCGUCCUCGGUUGGAAGAGUUGUUGUUGUGGGAAUGAGAACAACCUCACUGGUUGCUACGGAAAGCAAAUGGAGUUCCAUGGGAAGUGGUGCGACUGCGAUUAGUGGCUGUGAAUGCUGCAGUGGUGGGUUCAGAAGACUCAAGGGAUCGCUAGAACAACUCAAAACUUUCAGCUUUAGAAACUAGAUCUGCAAAAUAGGGGAGAGGGGUGAGAGCCAUCUGAGCUGUAGAAAAACUGGAAAAAUNNNNNNNNNNNNNNNNNNNNNNNNNNNNNNNNNNNNNNNNNNNNNNNNNNNNNNNNNNNNNNNNNNNNNNNNNNNNNNNNNNNNNNNNNNNNNNNNNNNNAGAGGAGAAUGGGCUACUUUUGUGCUACAACUAAUCAUGAAUCAUGUUGAUGCAUCAUGAUCACCAUGCAUGGUGAGUCCCUUAGCUACUACAUGAAUUUUUCCAUAGGUAUUGUAUAGUAAUGCUUAUUCUUUGAAUAAUGUUUCUAUUUGAAAAAAAAAAUUAAUUCUUAGAUUUGUUCAUUUAUGAUAACAUAGAUCCAUGUUUAUUUUCUUCAAUAAAAAUCUCUAAAACUCAUUAAAUUUUGAAAUGUAGGUAUACACUCUUGGGAGGGUGAAAUGGAGAAUAAAAAGAAAGAAGAAGACAACAGGAUUUUGGGUUUUUAAAUGCAACUCUUAUGUCAUACGUUGUAGGACAUAAACGUUACUUUAAUUGCAACUGAGAAAUUUAGAUUUUUAGAUGGGACUUCUAUGUCAUUUUAUGGUUAACCGGUUUUAUGCUUAUGAAAUGGAGGUAUACAUGAAUCUUGGGAUCUUUAACAUUUCUAAAUCAUGUUUUGGUAUGUAUUCACUCUUCUUUUUUAGUUUUGAUGGGUUUGAUAUGUUGGACAUACUAUCCUUUUGUGAACAUUUGAUAUACAAAUAUUAUUAGAUGAUCAAUGUAUUAUGAGUUAUUCCAGAAACAUUACAAAAAAAUGAGUUAAAUAUAAUAUGAUUGUUAUAUUUAUGGACAAAAUAUAAACAGGUUAAUCUUAUUAAUUCAUAAGCAUUACAAAAAUCAACAACUAAAACCAAUCAUAUAUUCCACAAUAAUUUACAAUGAUGUGAUAUCAUAACUCAAAGGUGAUGCAUUUAAUGUGACAUCAUAACUCAAAGAUGAUGUAUUUAAUGUGACACCCUAUCAUCACUAGAAAUAUAUGGUGUCACUUCUGAAUGGGUCACCAUUUAUCUACUUUGGUGUCACUUCCAAAUACGUCACCAAUUGGUACCCUCUAUGGUGUCAGUGGAGAAGGUGACGCUAUGUUGUAGUGACACCUUAUGUUUAUGGUGACUCGUUAUAAAUGUCACCAUAUACCUUUUUCCUUGUAGUGCACAUAUCUAGUCUUUUAGAAACUAUUAAACUUAUCAAGUAUCGAAAUGUGAUUGUGUCCAUUAUAGGGAAAUGUGAUUGUGUCCUAAACCGUGAAUCAUCAGUCCAAGAACAUGGCAAAGGAGCUUGACUCCACUGAUACACUAUGGAAAGGUUCGCUUACUGAACAGUUACUCGUUCUAGUAAGAUAAUAGUCAAAAACCUUAAUUAUUUAUCAAUUAUGAUUGGACUUCUUGCUUUCGGUUAAUAUUCCAUGCCUUAAUUACAGUCUUAAUUUAGGAUUGAAUUAGGGUUGUAACUAGAUUGGAACGCUAACUUUGGCUAUGCCUUUCUAGCUUCAUCAACUGAUCCUGAAGCCUCUGUUAUAUUGGCUUCAGUGGCAUCCACUGCCUUUGUUCUACAAAUAAAAUAAAAUAAAUUACAACCGAAAAGUUUAAUUUGUAAUGUGAUUUUUAAAAAUUUAAAUCCAAUAUAUAUUAUUUACUCAUAAUAAUAAUAGUUUUAUAUCUUUAGAAUAAAUUAUUAAUUCCUGAAAAGUGUUUUAAAAUAUUUAAUUUUUUUUAAUAAAAAAAAUUCACAAUUUUGGUUGUUGAGUGGUCCUAACAUAUUUCUUUUAUUUUUCUUUUAUUGUUUAUAGUAAGUCUCCAAGACCUUCCUCGGUAACAUGAACUCUUCACCAACCAACCUCAUAGACUCCACUUCAUAGAGGCAACUUCACAUCUACGUGGGAACCAACCAAAAUUGAAAAGAAAAAAAAUCUACGAAUUAUUUAAUCUAGGAAACUUUCACCAACCAACACUCGUUGAACUCGGACAGCGUAUGUCAUUUGGAAGUAAUUUUAUUUUAUUUUAUUUUUCUUUCUAUUUAAAAAAUAAAUAUUGUUAAAUUUCAAAAUAAAUAUAUUUUAUUAAUUUUGUUUUACGCUUCUCAUAGUCUAAAAAACAGAAAAAAAAAAAUGAAUCCAACCAUUUACAAAUUAAAUUCAAUUUUCGUUAUAAAAUUAGAAAUAAAAAUAAAAGCACAAAUUUUACCUAAAGUUCAUAUAUUAAUAUAUAUAUAUAUAUAUAUAUAUAUUUCUAGGAAGUAGAGUAUUCAAGUUGAGGUUUGUUCGGAAUGCUGCCAAAUAUUUUAACGCAAGAAAAAUGCUUUAGCCAAAACAAUGGUCAAAUGAGACAGCGCAAGAGAUUUAUCCCUUUUUAAAAAAUCGCAACUAGAGGGUGGAGGAAGGAGGCUGAAGGGCCGAUGUCAUACAAAAUUGACUACUUUCUCAGUAAUCCCUAAGAAUAUUUGCCAAACCACCACCCAUGAAAAGGUGGUGAGAGUUUACUAUUUAUAAUCAUUUACAGAAUAUAAGAAAUUAUUACAAAUCAAAUAAUAUCAAACUGAUUACAAAAGAAAUGGAAAGUAGGAAAUAAUAUCAAACUGAUUACAAAGGAAUAACAUGUAAUCAAGGGUCAAAUAUGAUACAUAUGGUAAAUUGUAAUGAAAAGGCUAAGUAUCCUUAACACCUCCCCGCAAGCUGAGCGUCGGAUUGGAACGAAUGUGAAGCUUGAAUCGGGAAAAUUCAAAGAGAGGUCGAGAAACACUUUUGGUGAAGAUGUCAGCAACCUGGAGGUGGGAGGGCACAUACUGGGUGCGAAGUUUGCCAACGACAACGAGUUCCCGAAGGAAGUGGUAAUCUAAUUCAACAUGCUUGGCCCGCUUGUGAGAAACGGGAUUGGAACUCAAAAAGAUAGCACUUUUGUUGUCACAUAAGAGUAGGGGCUGCUGUGGAAUGGGGACCUUGAGGUCAUGCAAAAGAUGUGUAAGCCAAAGAAGUUUAGCAGCAGUCAUAGCAAGGGCACGAUACUCAAAUUCACAGCUAGAGCGUGAGACAGUAGGUUGCUUCUUUGCACUCCAAGAUACUAGAUUGUUACCAAGAUAAAUAGAGUAGCCGGAUGUAGAACGACGAGUAUCGGGACAGCCAGCCCAAUCAGCAUCCGAAUAAGCUACUAGCGCACUAGGAAUAGUGGAUGGACGAAAGGUAAGGCCAAAGUGGAGUGUGCCCUUAACAUAGCAAAGAAUACGCUUGACAGCAAGAAAAUGAUCUAUAGUAGGGGCGUGCAAAAAUUGGCUGACAGAAUUGACAGCAUGGGCAAUAUCUGGAAGCGUAAUGGUCAAGUACUGAAGGGCGCCAACAAGAGAUCGAUAGAGAGUAGGAUUAGAGAAAGGAGAACCAUCAACAGUCAGGUGUUGGGAAACAACCAUGGGGGUGUGAACAUGUUUGCUGUCGAGCAACUGAGCACGAGUAAGAAUAUCUCGAGCAUAUUUUAACUGACUGAUAAAGAGACCAUCAGGAGUGGGCAAAGCUUCAAGACCAAGAAAGUAACUGAGGGAGCCCAAAUCCUUGGUAGCAAACUCAGAAUGAAGCUUACGAGUAAAACUGUCAAGAAGUGAUGGGUUGUUGCCAGUAACAAUAAUGUCAUCAACAUAAAGAAGCAAAUAAAUAAGGCUAGACUGCUGAUGAAAGACAAAAAGAGAGGUGUCAGCUCAACUAGAAGAAAAACCAAGUGUAAGAAGAAAUGAGCUGAAACGUUGAAACCAGACACGAGGAGCUUGCUUUGAACCAUAAAGGGCGGCUUUCUUUAAUAGGUAGACAUGAGUGGGAAAACGAGAAUCAAUAUACCUAGGAGGUUGUUCCAUAUAAACAUGUUCAGUAAGGGUGCCAUUGAGGAAAACAUUCUUGACAUCAAGUUGCCGAAGAGGCCAUUUAUUUGUGACAGCAAGAGAAAGCACAACACGGACAGUAAUAGCUUUAACAACCGGACUGAAAGUGUUAAUGUAGUCGAGACCAGGUACCUGGGUAUAACCUUUAGCGACAAGGCGAGCCUUGAGACGCUCAACGGAUCCAUCCGGAAAAUAUUUAGUGCGAAACACCCAUUUAAAGCCCACGAUGUUGGUGUUGACAGGCCGAGGGACCAAAAUCCAAGUACCAUUUUGUUGUAAAGCUUGAAUUUCUUCAUCCAUGGCAGCAAGCCAAGCAGGAUUCUUAGCAGCAAAUUUGAAUCCUUUUGGCUCAGUGGAUGCAAGAAGAUCAGAAAGAAGUCCAGAGGAGCCCAAGACACCAAGAUUCGUUGGAUGACGAGUCUUGAAAAUACCAGCUUUGGCUCGUGUGAUCAUAGGAUGAGAGCCCAAAGAAGAACAGGAAUCAUCAGCAAGCUCAAUAGAAUGUGGACUGGAAGCCAAGAGUGGCAAAGAGGAACCUGAAAGAGAAGUAUCAACCUGCACAGACUCAUCCACAAGAUCAGAACAAAUAUUACAUGGAGAGGAGUUGGAUCGAGGAAUGUGCGGGGAAGGAGAGGUAGGGGAAGGGGGGAGAUGGAUCAAUAUGGUGAAGACGUGGUUCCAAGAAAUUUGAAAUAUGAAGAGAGGAAAGAGGUUGGGCCUGGGAGCUUGGGACAGUAGGAAAGUGAGUUUCAUCAAAUUGAGCGUGGCGGGUGAUGUAUAGCCUAGAGGUGGUGGGAUUAAGACAACGAAACCCUUUAUGAGAAGGACUAUAACCCAAGAAAAUGCAAGGAAUUUUGCGGGGAGAAAGUUUGUUAGGCAUAUAAUCACGCAAGCAAGGAUAAACACGACAACCAAAAGGAUGAAAAUUCUCAUAAUACGGAGAGUAGCCGUAUAAAAGUUCAAAGGGUGACUUACCACCAAGAAGUGGAGUGAGCAACCGGUUGAUGAUAUAAGUUGCAGUGCUGAAAGCGUCAACCUAGAAACGAGGAGAAAAGUGGGAGUGGAAGAGAAGGGCCAAGCCAGUCUCAGUCACAUGACGAUGUUUUCUCUUAGCACGACCAUUUUGAGUAGGUGUAUAUGGACAAGAGAGUUGAUGAUGGAUGCCAGAAGUACGUAAGUGAGCUUUGAAGCAAGUAUUAGUAAAUUCAGCACCUCCAUCGCUUUGAAAAACCUUGAUACGAGCGGAAAGUUGGUUUUCCACAAAUUUUUGAAAUUGAAGAAAAAUAUCAAAGAAAUCAGAUUUAAAUUUCAAAGGAUAAAGCCAAGUGAAUCGGGAAUAAUCAUCAAUAAAAAUAACAUAGUAAAGAAAUCCUGAAUUUGAUUUGAUGGGGGAAGGACCCCAAAGGUCACAAUGAAUAAGAUCUAACACAUGAGACGACCUAUGUUCAUUUCAGGAAUAAGGUAAUCGAUGAUUUUUCGCAAGUUAACAAGUACUACAUAGUGAGGGAGAAGACAAUAAAGACGUAAGAGAAAGAUGUCAUUUUUUAUUUAAAAAAGAAAUUACAGAAUAAUUCACAUGACCUAGGCGAGCAUGCCAUAAAUCAUAUGAAGCACGUAAAGAUUUAUUUUUAAAGAUAGAAAUAAAGGCAGAGUUGCCGUGCUCCAACACAUAUAACCCUCCAUCUCUUUUACCGGUCGCCACCACCCUUCCUGUUUGACGAUUCUGGACAGUAAAAAGAUUAUUAGUAAACGUAACGGAGAAAGGAAAAUCAGAAGUUAAUUUGCUAAUUGAAAGAAGAUUUUUAGUGAGAUGAGGGACAACCAAUACAUCUAGUAAGUGAAUAUUUGGAAUAGGAGAAAGAGUACCAGUGUGGGUAAUGGGUAGGGAGACACCAUUUCCUACGAUCACAGAGUUCUUACCCAUGUAAUUUUUGGACUGAUCCAAAAUAGAUGGAUCGGUGGUCAUAUGGGCCAAAGCUCCGGUGUCCAAAAACCAGUUAGCAGCCUUAGGUCCAGAAAGAGAACAAGAUGUGUUGAAGGCUUCGGCAAGAUGAGUAGAGGAAUCAGUCCGAGCAUACCGUUGGUUGCAGCGGUCAACAUAAUGGCCCUCUAUGCGACAAAUUUGGCAGCGAGGUGGUCGACGACCAUGACCAGAGUAGGUUCGUCCUCGGUUGGAAGAGUUGUUGUUGUGGGAAUGAGAACAACCUCACUGGUUGCUACGGAAAGCAAAUGGAGUUCCAUGGGAAGUGGUGCGACUGCGAUUAGUGGCUGUGAAUGCUGCAGUGGUGGGUUCAGAAGACUCAAGGGAUCGCUAGAACAACUCAAAACUUUCAGCUUUAGAAACUAGAUCUGCAAAAUAGGGGAGAGGGGUGAGAGCCAUCUGAGCUGUAGAAAAACUGGAAAAAUCGGUGCCGAGUCCACAAAGGAACCAGUGCACUUUGUUAGUUUCCUCGACGGGUCUUCCAAUGGCAUGAAGCUGGUCACAAAGUGUUUUGAAGGUAUGGGCAUACUCAGCAACGGGUUUGGUGCCGCGUUUCAUGAUUACUACUCAAAAAGUGCUAUUUGAUAGCUUGUAAUUAACUCUUUUAAACACUUUUGAGUAGUAGUUAUCACCUUUUAACCCAAUUAACAUGUUAAGGACCCUUGCAAUCAAUUCUAAUAAAAUUGUGUUAAGUUUUGGUGUUUUGAUAGCUUUUUAAUCACCAAAGCAAUCCGAGAUUGAGGAGAGUUCUUUGGAAUUCAUGGCAAAGUAAUGGAAAGCUCAGAAACAUGAAGAACCAAAGCUUUGAAGUCCUUUGCCAUAAGCAAAUCCGGAAUGCAAGGAGUGUGGGAUCCUCCCCAACCCAGAUUGAGUUCUGGUUCAGUCUUCCUUACAAAAGAUGUCCGGACACACCAUCGGAGGGCGGCAGAACGUGGGCUGUGGCAGGCUGUCGAAAUGACGUAGCAAGGCUUGCUCACUUUAGUCAAUGAUCAUGACAACAUAUCCGGAUAGGAUAUGCUAUCGUCCAGGUGUGAUGAUCGCGAGUGCCGUGUGUUUCUUCCUGAGGGAGUCUGGAUAGGGGAGCGCGCCGUGUGUCCUCUUGGGGAAUCCGGAUGGAGUGAUCCGGAUAGCGAUGCGCGCUCCGUGUCGUCAGGCGGAGGGGUCCCUACACCUUGCACACACAGACAGUCCCCCUUGCGACAUUCCACCUUCUCCGGAUAUUUCACAUCCAACGCUUGACGCCGGAUGGGAGAGGAGGGCGUUUCAACUUCCCUAGACGGACAUAUCCGGAUCCUCUGAUAGCGCUUACCCGGAGAGUUUCGCAGCCAUUUUGCACAUUGCCGCGGUUUUCUCCUAAAGCUUCCCGAUAUGUGCGACCAACAUUUUGAGAUAUUUUUCUUUAGAUAUUUUAUGUCUAAAUCCCCAAAGUCUCCUUGUAACCCACCUAUCAUAUGAUUCCUUAGUCUUUAAGUAAAAACAAAGGGUGAAUAACCCCUUAUAUAUAGUUUUGUAAUUAGCAUCAUAUAUGAUAAUAAUAUAGAUCUCGGGAGCUUGUUCUCAGAGACCACCUUUUGUAUAAGUAAGAAAUAUAUCUACAGAGCACUUGCUCUACUUUUCAUAUAUUUUUGUUUUCUCGUUAUUUUUCUUUCUAGCCAAUCAAACUCUGAGGAUUUUUCCUCAGAGGAUGAGAGGCUAGACUCUUCGUCUCUUGGAGUGAAGAAAGCCGGGUAAGUUUCCUCAUGCAUAAAUUGGAAGUUUUGUUGUUUUAGUUUUUAAUGAAGGGAAAGUGUGACCCGUUAAUGGUUUUUAUCUUUUUAGUUAACUUAAAACGCCUUUAAAUCACUUGGGCCAACACUUGGUAAGGCAAGUGAUCUCCAUCCAUUGAGAUGCACUAGUUUAUCUCUUGCGAGCCUUUGGGAGGUGGUUUGAAGGUAGGAUUUUCUAGAAUAGCCAACACUUGGUAAGCUUUUGGACUCUAAGGAGACAUCCAUUAGUUAUCUCUUGCGAGCUUUUAACGGGUAAUCCAAGGUUAAGGAUCAUCUUGGAUGGCAAAUGCUAGGUGAGAGGCACAAGCCAUUGCAAGAUGCAUCAGUGAGAGAGAUUUAGUGUUUGAACCCAUUAAUGGGAAGCAUUUGUACAACACCAGUUGGAGAAGGAACUAUAUGUUAAUUCUCUAAUGCGAGAAAAAGAAACAAAUGACCAGAACUCCCUUUUUGUAUGAGGAAUCUGAGCCUGAUGAUCUGAAACUCCAAGAAACACUUUUCUUUGUAAUUAAAAUCAGUCACUACUAUUUUUGGUUAGCUUAAAACCAAUCCUUUUUCAAACAUCUUUAUGUUUUCUUUUAAAGCUAACCUUGAAAUGAAAAGACACCAAUUCAGCUUUGAAUUAAUAUCAAUUGUGAAGUGAAAACUCAUCCCAGUGAACGAUCCUAGAGCCACUAUGCUAUAGUAGCUUUGUCUUUGCUACCUAGUUCAUGGUGUAAUAGGUUAUAAAUUUUGUUGAUUACUCCCUGAGGACCAAAAUCAAGGGACACUAGCUGGACACGUAUCAAAUGGCACCACUGUCAGGGACCAUUGAGAGGACAUGAAUCAGCUGAGACACCAAUUGGGAACGAAUCAUUUCAUCAGCUGCAAGUCAUCCUUGAGUCGUAGUUCAUGGGCUUUCAAAUGAUGGCUGAAUGUAUUCUCCAAUGCGAGCCAAACUUCACGGGCAGUGGAGAGACCAACAAUGACAGCAAUGGCUUCCUCGGUGAGAGAGGAGAGCAAGAGACAGAGAAGCCGUUGAUCAGCUGCUUUCCAUGCUAGAUAUUUGGUGCUGAGUGUGGUAGAAGUUGCUGGUUCACAACGGGGUGGUGGAACAAGAGUUCCAUCAACGUAGCCCAAGAGGUCUUGACUCUCAAGGAGAGGAAGAAGUUGGCUUUUCCAGAGAAGAUAAUUGGAGGAAGAAAGCUUGAUGGUGAUCAUGUGGAUUAGAGUGUUGAAAGGAAGAAGAUGAGAGGAUUCGGAAGCCAUGGAGAAAAAUGGACUGGGCUUGCUAAACCAGAUUGGCUCUGAUACCAUAAGAAUAUUUGCCAAACCACCACCCAUGAAAAGGUGGUGAGAGUUUACUAUUUAUAAUCAUUUACAGAAUAUAAGAAAUUAUUAUAAAUCAAAUAAUAUCAAACUGAUUACAAAGGAAUAGCAUGUAAUCAAGGGUCAAAUAUGACACAUAUGGUAAAUUGUAAUGGAAAGGCUAAGUAUCCUUAACAAUCCUCUCCACGUGACUCAAAUCAGCACGGAAGUAUUGAACAAGACCCCACCACCAGCUACAAGUGGAUUGGAAGUGGACACAUCAUUUCUGACACUUAUAAAUACCCAACGCUCACACACUACUUUGGCAACCCAUCUUCAAGCACCAGUCCGCAUACUCUUCUCUUUUCUUCUAUCACUUUGAAACUCUGUGGGGGAUUUUACUAGUCAUCAAUGGCAUCUGUGGAGGACAUUAGAAACGCUCAACAUGCCAAGCGGCUGGCCACCAUUCUAGUCAUUGGCACUGCUACUCCAGACAACUAUGCGUACCAAUCCGAUUACGCUGAUUACUAUUUUCGGGUCACUAAAAGCGAGCACAUGACCGACUUGAAGAAGAAGUUCAACCGCAUAUGUAAGUAUAUAUAUUCAUGCAUCAAUUGGAACAUCCAUUACAUACAUAUAUGUAUAAUUAUCAUAAUGCUUUAAGAUUCCCCUACAAGAAUUGCCAAGUUUUCUUUAAGCUUCCUGUGUGUUGCUUUUCUGUAAACUAAUUAAAUCUGUGAAAAAUGAGGGGCUAUACGUUGGUUUAAUAUUUCGUAAUAGCGCUGCUCUUUCCAAUCCUACAUAAAUUAAUUGCCCUGCCUAGGAACACAUAGUUAUUGUAAUAAUAAGUAAUAAUCUGUUUUAUAUUUAUGUUGAUCAUCUUGAGUGAUAAUGAAGCUGCCCAUUAUUGCUGAAUGAAUUUUGCUUUGCUAGUCCAUUAGCUAAUAUAUUAAAUUCCUUUAACUUAUAUAUAGGUGAGAAAUCAAUGAUCAAAAAGCGAUACAUUCAUUUGACUGAAGAAAUGCUAGAAGAGCACCCAAAUAUGGGUGCUUACAUGGCUCCAUCGCUCAACAUACGCCAAGAAAUUAUCACUACUGAGGUACCUAAGCUUGGUAAGGAGGCCACAUUGAAGGCUCUUAAAGAGUGGGGCCAGCCUAAGUCCAAGAUCACUCACCUUGUAUUUUGUACAACUUCAGGAGUAGAAAUGCCCGGUGCAGACUAUAAACUAGCCAAUCUUCUAGGCCUCGAAACAUCAGUUAGAAGAGUGAUGUUGUAUCAUCAAGGCUGCUAUGCAGGUGGGACUGUUCUCCGAACUGCGAAGGAUCUCGCAGAGAAUAAUGCUGGAGCACGAGUUCUUGUGGUAUGCUCUGAGAUCACAGUUGUUACUUUUCGUGGACCUUCUGAAACCCAUUUACACUCUUUAGUGGGUCAAGCCCUUUUUGGUGAUGGGUCGACAACUAUAAUUGUUGGAUCAGAUCCAGAUACCUCCAUUGAACGACCACUCUUCCAACUUAUUUCAGCAGCCCAAACAUUCAUUCCUAAUACACAAGGUGCUAUUGUUGGCAACUUACGUGAGGUGGGUCUAACCUUUCAUUUGUGGCCUAAUGUGCCUACUCUGAUUUCCGAGAAUAUAGAGAAGUGCUUGACUCAAGCUUUUGCCCCACUUGGUAUUAGUGAUUGGAACUCCUUGUUUUGGAUCGCUCAUCCAGGUGGCCCGGCCAUUCUAGAUGCAGUCGAAGCAAAACUCAAUUUGGAGAAAAAGAAACUCGAAGCAACAAGACACAUCUUUAGUGAGUAUGGUAAUAUGUCAAGUGCAUGCGUGUUGUUUAUUUUGGAUGAGAUGAGAAAGAAAUCACUCAAAGAAGAAAGGACCACCACAGGUAAAGAAUUAGAUUGAGGCGUUUUAUUUGGUUUUGGGUCAGGUCUGACCAUUGAAACUGUUGUGCUGCAUAGUGUUGCUGGGGCUACAAAUUGAGUGAAAAGAAAAAAAUCAGAAGGGGACAAUUUCCAAUUAAAUCAAAUAGGAGUUAAUAAAGACAUAUAUGUCUUCUAUUUGUAACAUCUUUUAUUCUUUAUUAAAAUUGAUGUUUGUGGUUCAAAUUAGAGCUUGUUGGAGGGCUUCAUUAGUAAUCUCAAGUUAAAAGGGAUGAGACAUCAAGUUCUUACAGUUUCGAUAUCUAGAUGAAAUUCCCUCAAAAGUUGUAUAAACAUCCACCGUGUUCUUUUAAAGAUUGUUGAGAGUAAUACAAAGAAAAGAAUAAAAUAACAAAUUGCUUUUUCCCUUUGUAACUAAGAAGUCUGCUGCAUGAUAGCUGCAUUUGUGUGACAGAAGCAAAGCCAUGUGGAUGCCAAAAGUAAUGCAACAAUUUGAAAAGAGUAAACAGGGCGGUUGAUUAGUUAACUUCCAUAAUUCCGCAACAUUUGAUUCAAAAGACUUUAGCUUUAUCAAUUACUUAACUACUACUCCGUAUGUGGAUAAAUUCUUGUACCAUCUGAAAAGGUAUAGAAGAUAGUUAUCCUCAUAAAUAGGUUGCCUAAUUAAUUAGGUGAUCUUCAAUAAUUCAACAAGAUAGGGAUUUUAAAAUAUUUUUACUUUAUUAAUUCCUUAACUACUCCUUAAACUUCUUUUUUUCCCCUUUUUGUGAAAAGCUUUUUACCCUCAAUACAUAUGAUAUAUUCCGUUGCUAGGAACUUGGGUUUGAGUAUGUAUUAAUUACUAUUCUUAAUCAAAUUUAUUAUUGAAAAAUUAUUUUUAGUUAUGGUUUUUUUAAUAUACUUAUUACACAUUUAUCAUAUGUACUUGUUUAAUAUACUUCUAAUAUAUUUAUCAUUCAACAACAAAUACGAGAAAAGGUAUAAAAGACAAUGAAAUUACAAACUAAAUUGCCUUUAGUUUUUUUAUAGUUGAAGGCCUUCUUUUCCACCCCUAGUCUCCAAUAAAUUAGACUCUACAAAGCUUCUUCUAUGUUACUCUCUGAUUCUACUUCUAGUGCAAAGAUUUUGCAGUACUCUACAUUAUCUUGCUAUUGCUAAGAGACAAUCCAAGAAUAUUGAAGAUAAUGAAGUUAGGUUGUUGUAGUAUAAUACCUGAGUUCUUCUCUACUUGCAACUAUGGGAUCGUACAUGAAGAAGCAUUUAAUAAAGGGUUUUAAGAAGCAUAACAUAUUUUUAAGGCCAAAUUAUUUACAAAUAAAGUGCAAUAACCAAAUAAAAAAUGAAGUUUGAUGAAUCAUGAUUAAGGGCGAAUUUAAUUUUCGUAAGGAAUUAUUAUUAUUUUUUUAAAAUCAAUUUUAUCACAAUGAAAUGAUCGAUGCAAAAAUUUAGUGCUUGUUUCUAUAUACUUAGUGUUAACUACUUUUAAAAAUGGAAAAUGAUUAUAACUUUUGUAUGAAAUGUAAAUUUUUAUUAGAAAAAUAUAUACUUCUAAACAAUUUUAAAAAACUAUUAUAUUUUAUUGUGACAAAAAGCUCUUACAUUUUAUAUAAGAGUUACUAGCUUUUUCCAUUUCAAAAAAAGAAACACGAAUUGUUCCAAACACUACAUAGUUAUUAAAAAUAUUUAAUCUAAAAAAAAAAUUAUUUUUAGUAUAAAUUGAUUCAUUUAAAAUUUUUACAUCAAUUGUUUUACGAUAACAAAAUAAUUUAAGUAUCACACACAAAGUUAUGAAAAAAAAUAUGAUAAUUUUAUUUUAGAUGAUUCACAAUAUUUCAAUGUUUUUUAAAAUAUAUUAAUUUUUAAAAAUAAAUUUAUUUAUAGAAAACUUGCAGUAAAUAUAUAAAAGAUGGAUGUGAUGAAACAUUAAUUAAAAUGAACUUUUUUUUUUCAUAAAAGAAAUUUUAAGAAAAAUUAAUUUCACCACAAAGAAAUAUUUUCAAAGAUUUAGUAAUCAAAACUAUCAUAUUUAAACUCAAUUAUUUUUAUAAUUUAUGUUUAUCCCUACAACAAUUUUUUUAUAUAUAAAUAUUUUACAAUAUAAGUGUACUAAGUAUAUUAUUUACAAAAAAAAAAAAAAUAAUAUUGACACAUAGAAUAUCAAUCUCUAUUGCAAUCUAAGAAUGCUUAGGUUCCAAAACCUCAAUUUAUUCUUGUUAGCUCAAGGGUUCUCCUAAUCAGGUUUUGAUGAUAACAAACCAUGGUUAAGUUGCUGAUUGGUUUGAAUUAUAAAGAAUUUCAUUUAUUAAUUCGAGAAUUCAUCAAAUGACCAAAUGGAUGCAAGAUCAAGACCUUUGGAAGACCUUUAAUAAUAGGAAACAUAUAUAAGAUGAAUGCAUGGGUGCACUUAGGUUUUACAUAUCAUUUCAUGCAUCUUUGAAAAACUCGAUUUAUUCUUUAAAGUUAUAGUUUCAUCAAAAUCCAAGUUUUAUCAAAUGAACCUUAGACAAAUUACUUCAAAAUUGGCAUAUUAAUUUACCUAAAGACCUUGCCUAAGUGUUAGAAGAGAAAAUAACAUAAAAAUAUAGGUUUUCAGGCAAAAAAUGUUGAACCGGUUGAGGCAUUGGCCAACCGGCUAGGGGUACCAGUUGACCGAUUCCCUCUUCGUGAUUGACUGGUUCCCUCUUCCCAGUUGACCGGUUCCCUCUUCUCAAUCGAGGUUUGGUCGAGGAGCGCAAAAAGUACUCUCUCUCUUCUAGUAGCCUUCCUUUCCGAUCGAGGUAUUUGCCAUCUUGGUCGACCUCCGGUCGAGGUCCGAUCGAGGUCCGGUCAAGGGUAAUGGUCACCUACCAAACAUUAAAUGCUCUAACGGCUACUAAAUCGGUCAAUCCCAGCUCGACCGAUUGAGGCUACUUUUUGGUUUUCUUGUCUCCCGAGGUUAGAAACCUAUAAAUAGAGAGUUCCACUUCAUUUUUAAGCAAGAGAACACUUGCAUUUAUUUGUCUACCCACUUAUUCUUGCCUUAAAAUCUCUCAUUCCUUUCUUGGCGCAUUAAAUUCCCAUUUGCAUAUCCUUUAGUGCACCUUUGUGAUUCAUCCUACUCUUAAGUUGUAUUUGAGCUAUUGUUGAGCUAGGCUGAUUGAUUCAUUCUUGUUAAUUGAGUGUUAAAGCCUUCAAGUGAGUUGAAACUUGAAGAGAUUGUGUAAGAGCCCAUUAGAGUCGAAAUCCAAGUGUAAAGGUGAUUAGAAGCUUGGUUGAAGCUUCAAGUUAGUGGAAUCCUCACUCGAUUAGGAGUUUGAAGAGAGUGGACGUAGGCAAGAAAGUGUCGAACCACUAUAAAAUUUGAGUUUGCUUUGUCUAACUCUAUCUCUUUAUAUUUGCUUCUCUUGUGCUUAAAUUUGUUUGUUUAAAAAGAAUUUUUUAAAAACCCAAUUCACCCCCCUCUUGGGUGUUUUUCUCAUUUAAGAUUAACCUUUAUUUUCUCAAUUCUUUUCUACCAACCAUACCUACAUUCAUGAAUUAGAAAGAAUAAUUUAACUAUACCAUAGGAAUUAUUAUAGUAAAUGGAAAAAAUACCACUAUUGAACCCUAAAGUAUCUCAUAAUUUCUUGUUUGUUAUAUCUACACCUUAAACUAGUAGCUUUGGUUCCCUAUGGUGUCACAUAUUCUUCCUUACUAUUAGGAUAUAGCCCUUAAAAAAUUUAGGGUUUAUUAUUCAUUCAAUAAAGUUCCAAUUGCACUUUAAUUAAUUAAUAGUCCAUGCAUUAUACCUUAUGAGCAUUUAGACCUACAUCUUUGCAUUAUGAGUUGUAUGGAAGAUCCAAGUCAUGGAUUCCUUACAAGUAGAUGGGUUGUUCACAACUGGUUCAUGAACUUAGACAAUAUCUUAGACUUCUUAAUUGGAGGGAUGGUUAGUCUUGGCCAUUGGGACGGGUUUCCCAUGAAGAGUGCACUAAAGUGUAUGGUUACAUAUUGGACAGGACCUAUAGUGAACCGUACUGUAAGUUUAUCAAGUUGCCAUGACUUCACUAAGCUACUUUAUUGUAUUGUCUUUCAACCUUGAAAUAAUAUUGAACUUGAGCAAAAGUUAGUAGUGACUUUAACUUACGGGUAAGAUCUUAAAGUGAUCAUAUAUUCCUUAUGGAUUGGAUCAUUGUUGAUGAAAACUACUAACAACAGGUAUUCUCAAUAUAAGCACCAUGAUAUUUAAUGGGAUUGAGACAAUGUGUUCCCUUGGGUGAUCUUAAGGAUGUGUGUUUAGGUCAACCAUGGUCAUCAUAAUUCCUUAAGUGGAACUUGACAUUAGCUCUUGGUGAGCUUAGAUAAUAUGUCAAUUGAUCACACUCUAAGAGGAUUUGGAACUCAAAGAUGGUAGAGGUAAUCUUCAAAAUUUGAUAACUUUUACCUUGUUAGAUUAUGGACAUCGGUUCAUGGGGAGACGUAGUGCUUAGGUCAUAGACCGACCCAAGUACUAAGCAUCUCGUUAUAUUUACGUAGUGUAUUGGAGUGUAGUAGUUGACUCUCUACUGUCAAAUGUAAAGAAAAUUUCAGAAUUGGAUUUUGAGGGAGUCAAUACUAUCAUAGGAGUCCCAAUUAUCCUCACUCGAGCUCAUAUACCUUGAUGACACAGUUUAUGAAGGUUAGAUUGACUCUUAGUUCACUUAUGUGCAUAAGGGCAUGUUGAUAAUUACACAAGGUUAAAUAGGGGUUAGUGAUCAAUAUCUCUAGAUUUGGCUAAUUGAUUCAUUAUUUAGUCCUAUUGAGUUAAUUAAUCAAUUAUAACCCUUUUUAGGCUAGAUUAAGUGACCUAAGCCCAUGGUGAACUCAAGUUACUUAAGCUUAGUAGGAAUCACUAUAAAUACCCAUUUAGGGGUUAAGGUUUCAAGCUUCUUCCAUUCAUACCCUACAUUUUAAAGAGAGAUCUCAAGCCUCCACCCUCAAAACUUCCAUUAUUUAAGUGCCAAGCUUCAAGGUUGAGUCAUGGGACGGAAGAUCAUGGGUUUAUGAGAUCUCUUGCAACUUUGAAUUUUUUAUUCAUAGCAAGGAAAUGAUUUGGGAAUUCUAAAUCAAUAGUAAGCACUCUAAUCUCAUUAUCUAGAUCCUAAAAUUGAUUUUAAAUGCAUAUUUUCCACUAUGCAUAGUAAUUAGAUAAGCAUAGGGAGGAUUGCAUGUAUCUAACCUGAUUUUAGGAUAGAGAAUGGAUUAAUCAAACAUUGCCUACAACUGGUAUCAAAAGCUUAGGUUAAGGAAACAUAUGAUCCCUUUUAAGGUGUGCUAAUCCUUGUGUUAUAGGAUUUGUUAUUCAUUUGAUGGUCCUAGGGAUGAAGGUAUAUGCAUGAGAUUUUUUGAACUUUUAUUAUGAUAAAUAUAUAUAGUGAUUGAUUGUUAGAUUGGUUUUUAUUAAUCUCUAGAUGAGUUGUAAACCCCAUAAUAAGUCUUAAGAUUUUUUUAUUUGCUAUAAAUUUUUUUUUUUUUUUAUAGAUUGGUUUGUGAAGUUCAAAUGAUUGGAGUAUAGGGUUUUGAUGUGAAAAUCCAAUUUACAUCUAUCUAUGUAACCCAUAAUGAGAAUGGAAGCAUUCAAAUUCUUGUACAUUCCCUUCCUGGAAAAAAAAAGUCCUUUUAAGGAAAAUAGUUACUAGAAAUACAAAAAUUCAUUCUCAAAUUCAGUUUCAUCAAGUUCUUAAGCACUUCUUCUAACACUCAAAAGCAACAUUUAAUGCUUGAAGCAUUUCAAGCUCUCUAAAGUUCCUUCAAGUGCUCCUAAAUAUACUAGUAAUCAUUUUAGGGUUUUUAGGGGUAAUUUUGGUCUCUUGUAAAACCACUAACCUUAUUUUUGUUAUGGAUUUUUUGGUAUGUUUGGAUAAUGAAAAUUUAAUAUUUAGGCUACCAAAUAAGCAACAGGACCCCUAAGUCCAUGCGAUUCCCUAUUUUAUUUUAUUUUAUUUUUUCUUUUAUGUUUCUAUUCUAUAUUGCAUAUGAUAAGAAGUUGAAUAAAAAGUUUUUCAAAAAUGGUAAUUUUGGAUUUUCUUAUAGAAAAUAAAUUUUCACGAGGAUUGUCACCAAGUAUUAUUUAUUUUAGAAUUGGAUGUUUCUAUUAUUGGAUUGGCAUCCCUUUUGGAACUUUCCUAUUGUUUUUGGUUAGGUGGUUCUCUAGGCUCUCCCCUCGUGAGAAAGAUAACAACACCAAAGAUAGUCCUCUAGGUCCUCAUGAGAAAAAGAACAACAAAAACAGGAUGUGAUUUGUCCAUAUAAAAUUGUUUUAACAUUUUUUCUAUAUAUGUUGACUGAUGGACGAAUGUGUCAUUUGAACAAUGCUUGAUCUACAAGCCGAGACAAUAUCUUGUUUUCCCUAAAUCUUUCAUUUUAAAUUCCUUCUUUAAAUAAUUGGUUAUUUUUGUGAGCUCUUUAAGAGUCCCUGUAAGGUUCAAAUCAUCCACUUAUACUGUAAUUAUUGUGAGCUUGGAUUAUGAUUUCUUAAUAAAAACACAUGGGUAAAAUGACUUAUUCACAUAUUACUCUUUUAAUAAAUACUCACUCAAACGAUUAUACUACAUGUGUUCAAAUUGAUUUAAUUUAUAGAGAUCUUUGUAGUUUGAUUGAGUACAUAUUUCAAGGUUUUGAAUUAGUCAUUUUCAAGCAAUUUGAAUCCUUCAAGGAUUUUCAUAUAUAUGUCAGUAUCUAUAGACCCAUAUAAAUAAGUUGUAAUAACAUCCAUGAGACACAUAUCUAGUCCUUUAGAAACUAUUAAACUUAUCAAGUAUCAAAAUUUGAUUGUGUCCAUUACAGGAGAAUAAUUUUCCUCAUAGUUUAUAACAGGUUUUUGCAAAAAACCUUGAACAAGUCAUGCUUUAUAUCUUGUGACGUCAUUAUUCUCAUUUCGCUUUCUCAUAAAGGCCCAUUUAUAUCCAACAGGCUUUAUGUUUUCAAGUGUUUGAAAUACAGGUCCAAAACCUCUCAUUUUGCUAACUAGUUUAGCUCUAUGUGGAUUACUUCUUUCCAUCUUGGUUAAUCAUUCCUUUUUCGAUGUUCAUCCACAGUUUUUUGUUCUUGAUCUUCAUUAUUUAUCAUGAUGUCCAUAAUUAAUUGGAACACAAAUAUGUUGUCUAUGAUAAUGUCAUUGUGGUUCCUUGUUUGUCCUGUGUGACUCAUUGAGAUCUCUCUAGUUCUAAAUACCAGUAUUUAAUCAAUUAGUGCCUCUUUAGGAGCUAACUAUUUAUCAAGUUGGGUUUCAGCAUUUGAUCCUUUCCUAUUUGUAAGCUCUUCAAGAGUACCAAGUUUUUCAUAUGUCAUUCUUUUUCUUUUUUUAGAAAUUGAAUCCUUUGAGCCAAUUGGUCUACCACGCUUUAGGUGUGUCUUACAUUCACUUGCGAUGGCAUUCUCCUAUUAUCCUUUACGGACAUCAAUAUGUGCUAGGGUAUUCACAGCCUGUAUGUGUGACUUUGUUACUUUCAUUAUAUUUGUCAAAGCAUCAAGUAACUAAUUUGCAAGUCCUUAUAAAUGAAUAAUCCUAUGAAAUUCUAGUUAACACUGCCUUGCACGAGGAUCAAGAUGAGACAAAGAGGAUACAUAACAUGUAAUGUCUCGCCAUUGUUCUGGAUUUGAUUUGUCACCCGUAAUGGUGGGAAAACAUUUUCAUCAAAAUGAAAAUCUACAAAGUGGGCAAUAAAAACAUCGCCUAUUAAAUGUUCAAGAUAGCUAAUAAUGGAGGGAGAAUUAAAACCAACAUAUAUACCAAGUAGACGUCGAGGACAUAACUUAAAACAUUGAGGUAGAGCUAUGGGAGCAUAGACAAUACAACCAAAAAUAAGUAAAUAUGAAACAUUUAGUUGGGAGCCUAAAAUAAGUUGUAAAUGUGAGAAUUCAUGAAGUUGUAGAACAAAUCUGAAUUAAAGUAACUACAUGGAGAAUAGCAUGUCCCCAAGUAGAUAAAGGCAAUUUUGUUGUCAGGAAUAACGGUUUUGCAAUCAAUUGCAAAUGCUUAAUAAGAGAUUUAACUAAUCCAUUUUGAGUGUUAGUAUGAGCAAUAGGAUGUUCAACAUCAAUACUAACCGACAUACAAUAAUCAAGAAAUAUUUGGGAAGAGAAUUCACUAGAAUUAUCAAGACAAAUUGUCUUAACAGGGUUGUGAAACCAAGGUUUGGUCAAUCUUAAUUUUGAUGAUAACAAAAUAAGGUUUGGAAUUAAUGAUUAUAUUUCAAUUGUGAUUAGUCGAGAUGAUUUUCAAAGUGGCAAUCAUAAAGACAAAAUCAAGCCAAAGGGAAAUCAAUAAGGUGAAGAAGACCUCAAAGAGAAGUGUCUUUCAAGACCUAAGUUUCAUAGGAUCUCUUUGUAAGGUUGUUAGUGCAUUUGUUUUUUUUUUUAUGCAUUACAUUAUUUACUUAUGCACCAAAAUCAUCCAAGAGUUAUUUUUGUUUCAAAUAUUUUAAAAUCGGAUGAUUUCAUGUUUUCAACUAAAACUUUGUGUCAAAUGUUUUCUAAACUUUUUAAAAAGGUUUUAAGUUAAAAAAAAAUGGUUGUUAAGCCAAAAAUGGCUUAACCGGCUAAACUGGCUAAAGAACCGAUUGACCUAUUUAGUUCAACCGAUCGAAUUAUGCAAAAACCUUCUCUAUAUUCCAGAAUGCUUUUCCGACCGGUCGAGGCUAAACCUCAUCUGGUUGAGUACGAAUCGAGGGGUGGUCAAGGGACGAUUGAGGUCCAUUGGUCACCUGCCAUGCAUUAAAUGUCAACGGCUAAUGAACCGAUCGAAUUAGAGCUCAACCGGACGAACCCCUAACAGCUAGUUUAACAUUUUUCUUCUAUAAAAAAGCUCUAGUCUUCAUUGUUUUAAGAGCUUAACCUUCCAAAACCUUUCUUGAAUAUACUUAAGCCUUGGGAGAGUGUUUUUGAGUGCAUCAUUAUUAUGAAACUUGCAUAUCAUUAACGCACUUUUCAAUCCUAGUUUAUCUCUUAUCAUUUGAGCCUAAAGUUUUGUACUAGGGUUUUGUGAGAUUAUUUUUCAUCCUUAUUUGUAAAUCUUUGAGAAGAAAAGUCCAAGUGUGAGGUAUCACUUAAGGAUUCUCAAGUGUGAGGUAUCACUUUAGGGGUUGUUCAAGAGUGAGGUAUCUCUUGAGGAUUGUAAAGGGUGCUUAGAGCCAAAAGUCCAAGAGGGUUGAUUGGAACCAUAAUCCAAUUGGAUUGCUUGAAGGCUUGGGUUGGAAGCCUUGAAUUAGUGAAACCUCAAGCUUGGGAUUGAAGCUAGAGAAGACUAGACGUAGGCCAAGUUGCGCCAAACCAUUAUAAAAAUCUUAUGUUUGCAUUCGGGAUCCCAAGUCAUUCAUAUCAUCCAUAACCCUGAGUUGUUCAUAUGAUCCAGAGCCCUGAGCUCACGACUUAGAGUAGCACAUGUCAUCCAUAAUCCUAAUCUCUUUAUAGAAUCUAGAGUCAUGGGUUCACAACCAAAUUCAUUCACAUCAAUCAUAGCCUUUUAUCUCAUGACCGAAAGACAUUUAUAUCAUACAUGACAUUGAGCCGUUCAUAACAUAAAGAGCCCUGAACUCCUGGCUCAGAUUAGUUAUUAUCAUCCAUAGCCCUGAGUUUUUCAUAGCAUCUAGAGCCUGGAGCUCACGACCUGGAGUAGUUCAUGUCUUCCACAGCCCUGAGUUAUUCAUAACAUCUAAAGCCCUAAGCUCAUGACCUGUAGUUGUUAAUGUUAACCACAACCCUAACUUGUUCAUUGCAUCUAGAGUCUUAAGCUCAUAACCCCAAGUUGUUUAUAUCAUCCAUGAACUUGAGUUGUUCAUAGAAUUUAGAGACCUAAGCUCACGAGGGGAAGUGGUUCAUAUCCUACACUUCCUUAUGUUUUUUUUUAGCAUUUAGAGACCUAAGCUCAUAACAUGCAGACAUUCAUGUCCUCCACCGUCCUAAGUUGUUCAUAGCAUUUAGAGCCUUGAGCUCAUGACUCAGAGUCGUAGAUGUCAACCAAAGUCCUGAGUUGUUCAUUUCAUCUAGAGCCCUAAGCUAAUGACCUCAAGUCAUUUAUAUCAUUCACGAUUCUAAGCUAUUCAUAAAAUUCAGAGACCUAAGCUCAUGACAUGGAGUCAUUCAUGUGCUCUACUACUCAAAUCUUUUCAUAGAUCUAGACCUAUGAGAUCACAACCAAAAUCGUUCCUGUCAUCCAGAAUCCUAAGUUGUUCAUUUUAAUAGCCUUAAGCUCACAACCUAAAGUCGUUGAUGUCAACCACAACCUUAAGUUGUUCAUAGAAUCUAAAGCCCUAAGGUCACGACCCAGAGUCGUUCAUGUCAUCCACAGCCCUGAGUUGUUCAUAGUAACUAGAGCCUUUGGCUUAUGACAAAGAAAUGUCCAUAUCAUCCACAACUUUGAGCUAUUCAUAGCUUCUAAAGCCCCAAGCUCACGGGACCCUGAGUUGUUCAUGUCUUCCAUAACCCUCUACUCUUCAUACCCGUGAUUUUCUACCAAAAAUUGCCAUGAAAAAGUUUUCACAUGCAUCUCAUGCUCCUCUUGCAGUCGUCUGAAGACAAGUCAAUGUGCUUUGCUUCACUAAAAUUCAGUGUGCACCAAGUCUCUAUGUAAAGAUGAGUUGCUUGCAACCCUCCCAAAAUUUCUCCAUUAACGGAUCCCAAGUAUCUCCACCAAAAUCAUACAAAGAUAAAUACAAAAAAUAAAUAUUAGAAAUUACAUAAUAAUAUAAAAUAAAUAAAUAAAUAAAAUCUCAAAUGAUGCAAUGAGGGUGAAACCAAAAAAAAAAAAUAUAUCAAUCACAUACGUAGUUAAGUAGAAAAAAGAAUAUUAUUCCAUGUAACUUAAAAGAUUAGAUUCAAAAUCUCAAGCAAUUUCCUAAAAAAUAAAUAAAUGAAUAAAUAAAUAUCACAUGGGCAAUUAGAAUUUGAAAAUAAAAAUAAUGCAAUAGAAAACAAUGAAAAACGGAUGCAAUCAAGAAUCGAAAUCAAGUCCAAACAAAUGUCCAAAAUGUAUGAAAAAAGUGCCUAGGUGACUAGGGUGAAUGUGUGCAAGCUGGAAGGUGCCUAGGUGAAUCUAAGUGGGCCUAGGUGAACCUAGAUGAGUCUAACCUAAAGUGCAAAUUAAGGUUGUCGAGGGUCACAAUGGGGUUAGAUAAAUCUCUCGAUCAAAGUCUCUAAGGUGGCUCAAAAAAAGGUAAGUAGUAUGAGUAACAAUGGACCACCAAGGAACUACUAUGGAGCACUAGAAGUGAACUUAAAGACAUGUGCUAAAGGGACAAAAUUGAGGGUCUACAUACAUGUUUAAUUCACUUUAAACAUUUGAAUAACAUUGUUUUUAUUUAUAAAAAUAAAAUAAAUUUUAAAAAUCAAAUUUCAUUUCUUUUACAACAUACAUUUAUAUUAAAUAAUUUAUAAUUAUUAAUUAAUUUGCUAUUAAAAAUAUAAUAAUAAUAUAUCUUAACGAGGAAAUUUUAAAUUCCUGAAAAAAUGUUUAAAAUAAUUGUUAUAAAUGAAGUAGUGAAUGUCGCCACAUCAUUAUAAUAAAUGUUAAUUAAAAAUUAUUUAUGACUUUCAUUAAUUCAAUAUUAAUGGAAGCCAUUUAGACAGUCUAUAGAAAGGUUUCCCAUCCCCUAUGCAAGGAGCAUCCUAAGAAAAGAAGCAGUCUCUCAUUCUCUCUGUUUUUCAUUCUCUCAUCUCUCCUAAUUUUCUUCUCUAAUUUCUUUCUCCCCAUUAUAUAUUAUUAAAGUUAUAUAUAUUUGUCUCUACUUUUGUUUGCAUUUAUUAUGGUUUUGCAAUAAUAAUUUUUAUUUUUAUUUUUCUAUUUUAAACACACAAAACUUGGGUUCACAUUUUAAUUGGUUGUUAAGUGGUCUUAACGUUUCUAUGUGUUUUAAAUAUGGUUCCUGCUUUUUAUUUUUAAAAUAGUAAUAAUAGUAAUCAUUAGUAUAAUGUACAUAAAAAUAAUACUGGUAAAGAAAGAAAAAAGAAGAAGGGUUUUUAAGAUAAUAGAAUGGUAUAAUGUAUGACUAUUGAAAUGUUAAUCAAGCUAAAUAUUAACAAAGUUUUAUUUUACCAUUGCAUAUAUUUUUAAAUGAUACAUUUAUAUUAUGUAAUAGAAUUAGAAAUAUUCAUAUUUUUACAUUUCAUUGUUUAUCCUAAUUAUGAUAUAAUAUGCUAAAUUUUAACUAUAAAAAGAUGAAAUAAUUUUAAUUAUUUGUAUAUUUUUAAUUUUAAUUAUAUGUAAAUUACAUAUUUAUCAUGUCAUGUUCACAUCAUUAUUCUAUGUAAUUCAAUCAUUGAUCUAACCAGUGAACUAUUGAUCGAUUUUUAUUUAAUAACUGAUUCGAUUUUGAAAAUAUUGUGAGAUACAUCAAGAUGCUUUUUUUAAAUAAAAAAAAUUAUUUAUUAGUUUUAAGAGAAUAUCUAUUAAUGUUUUCAUUUAUGAACAUGAAAUAAUUUUGGUUGUUGAGUGGUCCUAACAUAUUUCUUUUAUUUUUCUUUUAUUGUUUAUAGUAAGUCUCCAAGACCUUCCUCGGUAACAUGAACUCUUCACCAACCAACCUCAUAGACUCCACUCCAUAGAGGCAACUUCACAUCUAUGUGGGAACCAACCAAAAUUGAAAAGAAAAAAAAAAUCUACGAAUCAUUUAAUUUAGGAAACUUUCACCAACCUACACUCGUUAAACUUGGACAUGGAUGAAAUUUUAUUUUAUUUUAAUUUUCUUUCUAUUUAAAAAAUAAAUAUUUUUAAAUUUCAAAAUCAAUAUAUUUUAUUAGUUUUGUUUUACGCUUCUCAUAGUCUCAAAAAGACUAUUGUGAAAUUUAAAAACAGAAAAAAUAUAUGAAUCCAACCAUUUACAAAUUAAAUUCAAUUUUCGUUAUAAAAUGAGAAAUAAAAAUAAAAGCACAAAUUUUACCUAAUAUAUAUAUAUAUAUAUUUCUAGGAAGUAGGGUAUUCAAGUUGAGGUUUGUUCGGAAUGCUGCCAAAUAUUUUAACGCAAGAAAAAUGCUUCAGCCAAAACAAUGGUCAAAUGAGACAGCGCAAGAUAUUUAUCCCUUUUUAAAAAAUCGCAACUGGAGGGUGGAGGAAGGAGGCUGAAGGGCCGAUGUCAUACAAAAUUGACUACUUUCUCAGUAAUCCCCUCCACGUGACUCAAAUCAGCACGGAAGUAUUGAACAAGACCCCACCACCAGCUACAAGUGGGUUGGAAGUGGACACAGCAUUUCUGAUACUUAUAAAUACCCGACGCUCACACACUGCUUUGGCAACCCAUCUUCAAGCACUAGUCCGCAUACUCUUCUCUUUUCUUCUACCGCUUUGAAGCUCUGUGGGGGAUUUUACUAGUCAUCAAUGGCAUCUGUGGAGGACAUUAGAAACGCUCAACGUGCCAAGGGGCCGGCCACCAUUCUAGCCAUUGGCACUGCUACUCCAGACAACUGUGUCUACCAGUCCGAUUACGCUGAUUACUAUUUCCGGGUCACUAAAAGCGAGCACAUGACCGACUUGAAGAAGAAGUUCAACCGCAUAUGUAAGUAUAUAUAUUCAUGCAUCAAUUGGAACAUCCAUUACAUACAUAUAUGUAUAAUUAUCAUAAUGCUUUAAGAUUCCCCUGCAAGAAUUGCCAAGUUUUCUUCAAGCUUCCUGUGUGUUGCUUUUCUGUAAACUAAUUAAAUCUGUGAAAAAUGAGGCGCUAUACAUUGAUUUAAUAUUUCGUAAUAGCGCUGCUCUUUCCAAUCCUAUAUAAAUUAAUUGCCCUGCCUAGGAACACAUAGUUAUUGUAAUAAUAAGUAAUAAUCUGUUUUAUAUUUAUGUCGAUCAUCUUGAGUGAUAAUGAAGCUGCCCAUUAUUACUGAAUGAAUUUUGCUUUGCUAGUCCAUUAGCUAAUAUAUUAAAUUCCUUUAACUUAUAUAUAGGUGAGAAAUCGAUGAUCAAAAAGCGAUACAUUCAUUUGACCGAAGAAAUGCUUGAAGAGCACCCAAAUAUGGGUGCUUACAUGGCUCCAUCGCUCAACAUACGCCAAGAAAUUAUCACUGCUGAGGUACCUAAGCUUGGUAAGGAGGCCGCAUUGAAGGCUCUUAAAGAGUGGGGCCAGCCUAAGUCCAAGAUCACUCACCUUGUAUUUUGUACAACUUCGGGAGUAGAAAUGCCCGGUGCAGACUAUAAACUAGCCAAUCUUCUAGGCCUCGAAACAUCAGUUAGAAGAGUGAUGUUGUAUCAUCAAGGCUGCUAUGCAGGUGGGACUGUUCUCCGAACUGCUAAGGAUCUCGCAGAGAAUAAUGC
rnacentral:lncRNA from 1 species